rnacentral:lncRNA from 1 species
GUAGUCAGACCUUCCUAGCCCCCUUCUCAUCUCUUUCCGUGGUUAGUGCUCUGAUGUCCCGAUAUAGAUAAUCUUGAAGUAAUUCUUGAUUCUUAGAUCAACUAGAGAACUCUCAGGAAACUUCCUCUCUUCCCACCAAAAAUAAUGAUAUAGUUAUCCUUGGGCGAUCUUGGAUCUUAAUUAGUACACUCACGUUCCCUGUGGAAAAUCGAUACUCUCGAAUACUCCCGGGUGAAAGCUACAUCGGUAUCCGUGCGCUUGCGGAUUUUUCUGUUUGCGUUUAAAAUACCCAACACCGAGUCGCGCAACUCCCUCUCCUUGCCCUAGCGCCGCCGCCCCCGUUCGCUCGACAAUCUCCGGCGAUCUCGUUCUUCCCCCUGCGGCCAGAUCUCGCCCCCGGUUUCCUUUCUUCUCUCCUCUCGGUUGAGAUCCAAUCUCGCGGGGAUUUAGGGUUUCUGGGAGAGUUGCUUAAGUUCUGCCCCCAAGGUGAGGAGUCAAUUGAGGAUUUGAUCUUGAUUUCGAUUGUCUCACUCGUGCAGCACUUUGAGGAUUUGAUUAGUGUUCUCCAGAGGUUUCCGAUCGUGAUAUUUCAUCCGGAACGUGUCUCGUCCGUGGAUCGUAAGCCGUUCGCGCCCAUAUCUUAUCUAUUCUUGCGAUCUAUAGGAUUGUCUCAUCUCUAGUCGAUAUGAUUGCUUAUGUAUAUAUCCUAUCUUGUCUAUUCUCUGCAGCGCAUUAAUCUCCGUUGUCAGUUGGUUGUUUGUCGGACAUUUGAUCAGUCAUUAGUUCUUGCAAUGGCACGUUGCAAGAAUGUCAGCGGUCCGGCAGCCGGCACUGGAGGUUCCUCAGGUGGUGAUGGUGGAGGUGAUCCUCCCCGUCGCCUAUCAGCGGCAGAAAAAGGCAAGGGCAAGAAGCUGGCUACCAAGAAGCGCAAGGCCAGUGACAGAGAUGCAGAGGUGGCAGAGGCAGUUGCAGCAGCGGCCGAGGCAGCUGAGAGAGGUGGACGUUCUGGUGCUUUGAGGAUUGGGGAUGACCUCACGCCACGGCAGCGGCGUGCAGUUCUUGAGACAGAGGCAUUCCAUGGAUCCCCUCCAGGCACCGUGACGGUUGGAGGACAGAGGAUUAGGCUCGUGGUUACGGAUCCGGCUCAGGAGGAUCCAGACACUGAGACAGAGACCCAGGCAGAGGGUCCAGCACAGGAGCAGGAGCAGGAGCAGCCCCUCCGGAGGUCGACUCGCGCUCGUACCCAGGCCACUCCUCGGACUGGUACGCAGGGUCAGUCCACCUCUAGUGCUCGUGCUACACCAGCUAGAGGCACUCUAGCUUCUCGACCAAGGCCAGUCAGGAUCCACAGGGAUCUCACUCUUGUGUCAGCCAGAGAGAUCCAGCAGCUGAGGUUCGUUCCGUUUCCCACCUGGUUUCCAACUGCCAGGGAUCCCAGAGCCGGUGCCAGGUUCUACACAGUCAUCCAGGAGGACAUCCACGAGGCACUGGUUCGCUCUCAGGCACAGUUCAGGGAGCACAGAGUGAUAGACCUAGAGAUUCUGGGGAACGUGGUUGGAGCAGACAUUCGUCAGUAUUUCACCUACCUCCACGGACUCCCAGAGCUGCUAGCACUCCCUGGUACUUAUUGUGAGCAGUGGGUCAGAGAGUUUUACGCGUCAGUAUGGGUGUCUCCAGACCACAGCUACAUACACUACGCUCUGGCAGGCACAGACUACAGAGUUACAGCUCAGAGGGCCAGAGAGGUGCUUGGGCUGCGAGCCUCUCCCACCAGGAUUCAUCGGUUGUGCUACGGGAACGUCGAGCCCCCUCGUCGUCCUCACGGUGGUGAGAUACCACCGGUUGACUUCGUGGCUCCCUGUUUCUGUCCACCUUUUGGGGAGGGCUCCAGCAGGACAGUGGGAGAUUUGACUCGACCAGCUAGGAUCCUCGACUUUGUGUUGAGGAAGACUCUUCUCCCUAGGACAGGCUACAGAGACGGAUUCACUCGUAUUCAGCAGUGGCUCGUUGCUCACCUCAUCAGUCAGACACAGUUUGACCUAUGGGAUCUGAUUGUCUCAGAGAUAGAUGACACCAUCUCAGAGAGCUUCAGGGACCGGCGUCAGUUGCCCUACGCACAUUGGAUCACCUUGCUUAUACUUCGUGCUAGGCCACUGCCCUUGCCAGCUCACUUGCAGAGGGAGUUGACAGAGUCAGACACCGUCUUCCCCCACUACGACCCCAGGCAGAUGUUGAGAGCGCACCACGACCUCCGAGCUGCUCCUCCUCCUCGUGCACCACGCGGACCGGUGCCCCCACCUUCUCCUAGGGGUACCCGCAGUACAGCAGCAGUUCCAGAGACAGAGGAGCAGCAGGAUAUAGCCAUUGGGGCUUUCACAGAUGCAGAGGCAGAGGGAGAGUUUGACUUCGCCUCAGACAGCUCGGAUGAUGACUAUCAGCCGCCAGUGACAGAUCUCCCUCCCAGAGCACACGACCAUGAGGCAGGCGGUUCUUCGAGUGCUUCAGACCCUGCCCUGCUUGCUAUCUUAGAGGGGAUGAGAGCAGAUCAGCGCCGUGCAGCUGAGGAGCAGGCGAGGCGAGAUAGGGAUCAGGCUGCCAUCAAUGCAGCCAUGCAGGCUAGGCAGGAUGAGCUCCAGCGUCAGCUUCUCACCUUUCAGGAGCAGCAGCUUGCUUUCCAGGCCCAGCAGACAGCGAUGAUGGCCGCUCUCAUGGCCGCCUCAGGGAUCCAGCUACCGCAGAUUCAGCUCCCAGGCACCUCGACUGUCAGGCCACCUACUCCGGCGCCCCAGACUCAGAGUCCGUCUCAGCAGCUUCUCCCGCUACCAGCUCAAAGUCAGCCGUUUUCGACGCUGCAGCACCAGGUGUCUCAGGGUGCUAUCUCUUCAGGCUUUGAGCAGGUACCUCAGUUUACUCCUCUCCGCUCAGGCUUCACUCCUUAGUCAGCGUCAGCGUCACAGCUUGUGUGGGACUCGCAGACAGAUCCGCACCUCAGCUUCACCUACAGUGCUCUGACUUGUGACCCUACGCCUCCUCCUCUGCAGGCCCCUGCAGUCUUUACGGCGCCAGUUACCACUACAGAGCUUCUGUCGUCGUCUGUAGCGUCGUCCGAGCAGCUUGCACCGUCUUCUACCGUGCCAGAGACGACAGCUACCGCGACCGAGCCCGUGCCUGCUUCGUCAGCCAGACUCGAGCAGCCAGCACAGCCUGUGACAGCUCCAGAGCAGACCCGGACCGCUUCACCAGCUCCUGCAGCUUCAGAGGGUCACUCCACCUCCUCUGCCUCGACGGUCGAUAGUUCAGAUGAUGCAGCUUGCUUCGUGGCCGUGCCGAGGGACUCCACUGCUCCGCCUCCUCCACCGGCUACUUAGGUUUUUGGCGCUUGAUGCCAAAGGGGGAGAGAGUGCGUAGAGUUAGGAGUUAGGAGUUAGGGGGAGCUAGAGAGAGUGUUUAGGAGUUUUAUUCUUGUGGGAUACUUGUUAUGUGUGCUACUUUAUCAUGCAUCACGUUUACUUUCAUGCAUUGCACUUGUGUGAGUUGCUUUGGUUGUGAGACAUGACUUGUGCUUAAUGUGAUAUCUUAAUGUCAUGUGUUUUGGCUCAUAUUACCUUUGCUUCCGCGUUUUACUCCGAUGUACUUAUGAGCCUUAUGUUAAUAUCCUAUCGUAUAUCUCUCACAUAUUUGGGUGCAGGAUAUUGGACUUGGUUGAUACAAGCAUGACUAAUCCCGUUGUUCUUAUUGUAUCAUGCUUAUUGAAACCGAGUCACUUCAAAAAAAACCUCAACUCUUUUCAUACUCGAGGUUGUCAUCAAUCACCAAAAAGGGGGAGAUUGAAAGAGCAUCUAGGCCCCUAGUGAUUUCGGUGAUUAAUGACAUUAUUGAUUACUAUGACUAACGUGUGUUUUGCAGAGGCAAAGUCAUAGGUAAGGUCAUGGUAAAUAGGUACUCGAUGGACAGGGACGUACAUGCCAACUUAAUAGUGGAAAUCGUUUUCGGUUUUCAAAGGAUGGAUAGACAUCGUCAAGACUAGACUAGGUCUAAGUGCCAUAUGGUGAAGAAGGGCACUUAGAGUAGUUUAGGACUUUAUUUUCCUUUGACCGUACUAUUAAGAGGGGCUUUGAUCUAGUAGCUUGACUUAGGCAAGGCUUUAGGUUUAGGUGUGGUGCACACUUGGUAAACCUACAACUAGGCAGCUCAGAGAUAGUCCUUAAAUCGAGAGGAACCAACUUCGUUUUGGAGCGAUCGCGUUUCGAUGAAGUUUGGGUGCCCAAAGGGGCACCGGACGCUGCACCGGACGCUCUGUGAGUGCGUCCGGUGAGGUCCUUAGCCGUUGGAACAGUGUGGUGCUUAGGGUUAGGCACCGGACGCUAGCACCGGACGCACCGAGCAGCGUCCGGUCCCAUACCCAGGGAGGUUGCAAGCCUUCCCUGAGCACCGGACGCUAGCACCGGACGCAUCGGGUAGCGUCCGGUCCCUUGCGCAGGGAGCUUGUAAAGUUCCCCCGAGCACCGGACGGUGCACCGGACGCUGGGAGUUAGCGUCCGGUGACCUGUCAGAGAGAAGUACAGGUAGCCGUUAUGAAGCACCGGACGCUCGGUGCAGUGCGUCCGGUGCAACAUAAUGUGCGUCCGGUGACCCCGUUUUCAGUGGAAAAUGGUUGGCCGACCUUUGGACUUCGUGGAUAGUAUUUAUACUCCUCCACCUCGUCCAUGAGAGCUCUCUUGCCCAUUUGAACAUCAGAGAAACUUGUUGUGGAGCAAGAGAGUUGCAAGAGCCUAGAGAGGAUUGAAGUUUGAGUGAUUUCUUGAGAGAAUCCUUCUCUAGUGAGUUCCAAGAGUCAAGUGUGCAUCCACCACUCUCUAGAGCCUUGUUUGGAUCAAGUGAGUGUUCUUUGCUUGUUACUCUUGGUGAUCGCCAUCACCUAGACGGUUCGGUGGUGAUUGGAGGCACGAAGACCGCCCGGAGUUCUUGUGGGUGGCUAGUGUCAAGCUUGUGAGCGGUUUUGGGCGAUUCACCGCGAGGGAGUGUCGAAGAAUCAGCCCGUAGAGAGCACUUGGUCCUUGCGCGGACCAAGGGGGAGCAAGACCCUUGCGCAGGUGCUCCAACGAGGACUAGUGGAGAGUGGCGACUCUCCGAUACCUCGGCAAAACAUCGCCGAGCACUUUCUUCCACUACUCCUUUACUUUCUAGCAUUUACUUUGUGCUUUUACAUUCUUAGAAUUGCCAUGCUAGAAUAGGAUUGGAACUAGGUUGCAAAACUUUUAUCCGGUAGCUCUCUAAGUCACACUAGGCACAAGGGGUUGAAUUGGAGCUUAUAGGUUGCUUAAAUUUUUAGAGAAGCCCAAUUCACCCCCCCUCUUGGGCAUCUUGAUCCUUUUAAUGUGGACGAUUAUGAAUGUUUUUUUCCUUGUUAUUGAAUUAGAUAUCUCUGCAAUCUGACAUGAGGAGUGGGAUUUCUUAAACUGCCAUUUUCCAAGCAGGUAGCAACAGUACUAAACUAAAUCAUAUGUAAUGAAGCCUUUACCAUUCUAGUCUUUCAUCAAUUGCCUCUAUAAAUUGCAUGGCCUGGUUGCCUCCUUUCUCCAACUCGCACACCCUCCCUUUCAUUCCAACAGCAGAAACAGGCGUUACUGUUCGGUGGCAUUGCAAUGUCUUUCUUGUGGACUCUUCCUGUGGCUCACAUCUAUCACUUGACCUGGAAAAGAUGAAUUCAUUCGCCAAACUAAACAGACUGAAGUUUACACAAAUUGGCACUACAAAUUAUAUUCGUCUAUAAAAUAUGGACAACGAAUAUUUUUUGACACAAUCGGCAGGGAAGUCCCCUACCUAUUUUUUUCAUUUUAUCAAUGUUUUAAAUAGCGGGCUAACACGUUUAGCAGUUCAUGUCUAAAGCAGCUAAUAGCGGAGCUAAAUCGGGCUAUAGCGGAAUAUAGCGGCUAAAUUGUACAUGAACAUAAAUAGUGGUACUCUGCCUUAAAAGUCUAUAGCGGCAGCUAUAGCGGGAUAUUUAAAACUAUGCAUUUUAUUGAUUUAUGUACAAAGAAUAAAGAAUACAAAGGCCUUCAAGGCCCAAAGCGAAAAAUACAGUGGAAACUAGAGUCUAUUCUCACACCAAAGUUUCAAUGGGUCAGCAAUCCUCUGUUUGGCCUUGAUGAGCCUAUCUCCUCCUUUAGCAGGAUUUUCCAUUCAGUAAGAGAGACUGCUUUAUUGUCAAAAAUGGCACCAUUUCUGACUUUCCAAAUUGUCCACGCUGCUGUGAUGAAGAUUUCUCUGAAGAUGUGGCUUCCAAAAUUUAUUCUGGCUUUUGUCAGCAUCUCGUGGGGAGGGAGGUCAAGAUCCCAGUCAAUUUGCAGCCAGUUCCAGCAAGAUUGGCUGAAGGCACAUGUGAAGAACAAAUGCAAACAUGUCUCCUCUGGACUAAGAUUACAGAGAGCACAAGCAUAGUUGUCCAGAUGCAUUUUUUCCUCUUGAGGAGGUUUCUUGUACACAAACGGUCCCUAACCAGUAGCCAUGCAAAGAAUUUAUGUUUUCCAAGGUUUCCCCCUUUCCAAAUCCAUUUGAAGAUCGGUGAAGCAUUAACUUGGCCUUGGAGAUGGUUGUAUGCUUUUCUGGGAGAGAAGGUGUUUCCCCAGUUGUAUUCCCAAGAAUCAAGACUUUCUGAGCUUACAAGAUUUUGAGUUAGGAUUGCAUCUAGAUCAUACAGUUGGUCAGCAGCUUGCUCUGAGAGGGACAGGAAGAGGGUAGCUUCUGGGUCCUUUUCUACAAAAUACUUGAGUGACCAGUGUUCUUUCUACAGAACGAAAAUAGUUGUGGAAACUGCCCUUCCAACAGUUGUCGUGACCAAUUGUCAAACCAAAGAGUGGUGGUGUUACCUUUCCUAGGAUUACACCUUGCAAAACUUCUGAAUUUCGGGAAGAGCUUUAAAAUAUCUUUCCACCAGAAGGAGCCACAUGGGUUUUUUUCAUGUGGUGGUAUGUUCUCAUUACGGUAUAGCUUGGACCAUGUCAAUUGAACCCAAGGGACUGCAACAUGGUUAUAGAAUUUGUCGAGGAACUUCAUAAGGAGGGCACUGUUUUGGUUUUCUAAGUUGAUGAUGUUUAGUCCUCCUUCAGCUUUGGUUCUGCACAGUUCUUUCCAGGCUACCAGACAUGUGCCCUUUCUAUUGAUAUCUCCUUUGCUCCAGAUGCAAUGUUUUCUGAAUCUAUCAAUCUGCUCAAGGACCUGAAUUGGGAUGGACAAAGUGCACAUAUAGUAGGUGGGGAGAGCAGAAAGGACCGAGUUGACCAGUAUCAAUCUUCCAUGAUAAGAGAGAAAUCUGUUAAAUCCCGAGAGUCUUCUUUCCAUUCUAGAGAGUAAAGGUGUGAAGUCCUGAACUAUAGGUCUUGUGGUUCCGAGAGGAAGUCCAAGAUAUGUAAAGGGCAUGCUUCCAGCCCUGCAGCCAAAGGUGGCUGCUAAGUGGGACAACUUAGCUUCAGAGACAUUGAUGGGAAGGAGACAACUUUUGCUGAAGUUCACAUUAAGUCCUGUUGAAUCAGAGAAACCUCUGAGCAGUCCUUUUAGAAUGAAAAGUUGUUUAGCUUCUGCUGGGAGAAUGAGUAAUGUGUCAUCAGCAUAUUGCACAAUGGGAAAGUAGUCCUCAAAGUUGUUUGAGAGAGGGUGGUUUAAAAUGCCAUCAUGCCAUGCUUUGUUGAUAAUACUCUAAAGCAGAUCAACUGCAAGCAAAAAGAGGAGUGGGGAGAGUGGGUCUCCUUGUCUUACACCUCUCUUGCAUUGAAAAGGUUUCCCAGGGAUCCCAUUCAAGAGAACUAAGGAGUUACCAGAGUCCAGGAUUGCUUUGAUCCAACUUAGCCAGUGAUUAUUGAAACCUUUGUAUUUCAUCACUUCUAGAAUAGUUUGAUGCUCAAUUUUGUCAAAAGCUUUCUCAAAAUCUAGCUUCAAAAUUACCACUUCUUUCUUGGAGUGGUGACAAAGGUGUACGAAUUGAAAGGCCUAGGCUAGGCAGUCUUGAAUGCUUCUGCCUUUGAUGAAACCAUAUUGGUUAGGGUGGAUGAGUUUUGUGAUUACCGUCUGUAAUCUGAUAGAUAGGAGUUUUGUGAUGCACUUAACUGAGCAAUUGAGCAGUGAAAUAGGCCUGUAAUCAUCUACUGACUCUGGGUGAUCUUUUUUGGGAAUAAGGGCAAUGUAAGGGCUAUUGAUACUUGUAAGAUAAAUGCUGUUGUUGAAGAAAUCUUUGAAUAAUCUUUGAAAAUCAUUUUUGAUAAUGUGCCAGCAGUGUCUUAUGAACUUCCCAUUGAAACCAUCAGGACCCGGAGCAUGAUCAAGUGGGAUACUUUUAACGACAGCCUCAAAAUCCGUGUCAUCAAAGGUUCCUUCAAUUUGCCUAAGGUCAUGUCUGUCUAACAAGUUGUUUAAAUCAUAAGUGAUGUUUGAGAACUCAGAUACACCCAUUCUGUUUUUGAAGUUAGCCCAGAGCAGUCCUGCCUUUUGUUCGUGAUUUGUUACUUGGAUGUCUCCCCCUGGUACUGUCAGACUGGCAAUGCUGUUCUUUCUGUGUGAGAUGGAAGCCAUGGCUUGAAAAACCUUGCUAUUUUCAUCCCCAAGCUUAACCCAUCUGAUGGUGUUUCUCUGUUUCCAGUAUAUCCGUCUCGAUUCUAAUAGGUUGGCUAUGUGCCUUUUGACAAGGUCUCUUAGGGAUAUUUCUACCUCACAGAGAGGCCUUUGUUCCUCAAGACCAUCAAGUAGAAGAAGGACCCAUUCGCUGUUGUGUAGCAAUCGGUUGAAAUUUUGUAAGUUUUUUCUCCAUUUCUUGAGUCCAAUCCUAACUUGUUUAAAUUUUGCAUUGAGGGUUUUGGCAGCAUUGGCAAAAUAGGGGGUUGUAUUCUAGUGUAGUUCAACUGUUUUCAGAAAAUCUGCAUGCUCGAUCCAAAAAUUUUCAAAUCUGAAGAUAUUCGACCUGGGAAUGGAGCUGCCAAAAGAGAUGACAAAGGGGGUAUGAUCAGAGAUGGGCCUAUCCAGGGUUUGGACCUUAGUCAAGAGGUGUGCCCAGCUCUAGCUUUGAGAGCAGAAGACCCAAUCUAGUUUAACCAGCAGAGGAUCAGACUGCAUAUUACUCCAGGUGAAAGAUCUACCAUUAAAUGGGAGUUCAACCAAGUCAAGAGCAGAGAUGAGAUCAUUAAAUAGCUGCAUUUCGUUGACAUCUCCUCCUGGUUUGUUUCUGUCGUCUGUUGAUCUAUAGAGAUUGAAGUCACCUGCUAGGAUCCAGUCAUCUAGAUCAUCUGUGUCUAUAUUUAAUAACCAUGUUAGGAAACCCAUUUUUGCUUCAGCUUGAGAGGGGCCAUAAACAUUAGAGAGAUGGAAGGCAGUCUUAUCCAAUUUAUUCACAAAUUUCAUUGUGACACAGUAGCCAUUCGAAUGAACUACUGUUCCAUCAAAGAGCUUACCAUUCCAGAUGGUGAAGAUUCCUCCCGAGGCACCAGCUGACGGUGAGAAAGCAAAGCAAUUUAAAUGUUUUGGGCAGAAUUUUUUGAGAUAAAGGUUGUUAAAUAGUUCUCUUUUGGUUUCUUGCAGGCAAAGAACUUGGCAAGAACUUUCGGCUAUUUUAACUCUGAUUGCGUCCCAUUUGGCCUGGGAGUUUAUUCCUCUUAUGUUCCAAACUGGGAUGUUAAACUGCCUGGUGUUACUCAUAGAUAAACAUGGGUAGAAGAGAGUGAAGACUAACCCCCCAGAGGAGUUAGUAAGACCACUAGUAGAAAGAAGCCGAUGAAGCUGAUUGAAAGAACUAGUUUAUCUAUCUCAAGGCAGUUGGAUUGAUUGCAACCCAAGGCCAAAACAAAGUGAUUGAGAGGGACAUAAAACUCAGCUAGAUACCAUAAAGCAGAUCUCUCAUAGUCAUUCCAUACCAGCACACAGCAAACGUGUUCAAAAGCAAACUGCUGAACAUAAACAACCACAGGAAUAAAAGGUAACCAGCAUGCAAGCUGGGAAGGACAAGAGUGUUUGUUGCUAGGGAACAGAAAACUAGAAUUAAACAAAAGGUGCACUCUUCUCGUAGAGUGCAGAGACCAAGAGCUAAGUUCUUCAGAUUCCAUCAACAUCAACAUCCUUUUUGAAAAUGGCAGCAGAUGCAUCACUAGGGUGGAUCUGCAGGAAGCCGGUGGCAAUUCCUUGGGCUACUUCCAUCGGCAGGUAUGGAGCUGGUUCUGGAGCUGACGCCUUUGGGGAGGCGGGGACCAUGGCCAAGGGAACUGGAUGAAGCACAUCCUUUUUGAAUCCACCUUGUUUGAUGGCACUCCUCUUGCUGCGCCUGAGGUGACGGUCAUACACUUGUUGUUUAGUCUUGGAGAUCCUCCUCUUUUUCUGGGUGAACUGGUUGCUUACGAUAUCCAUCAACUCCUCUUCACUGAUCUUCAUUAGUUCAGCUCUAGUGGGUGCCACGUCCAAGUCCUGGUCACGGAUGAGGAAGGCCAACCAGGCCAGGGUCAGAAAGUCACAAAAGUAUGAAGGGAUGGGAAGAUCAGGGUUAAUAUCCAAAUGAUUUAGGAAGUUAAAAACACUAGGAGCAGGAGAUUUUGAGAUGUAAUUGAGUACCUUGUUUAUGUGCAAGUUCAGAUUCAACUUUACUGGUGGAACAUUGGAAUGCUCCUCCAAGAUUGUUCCAACCACCACUGAUUUGAGCCUGGGACUGUCUCUGUUAAACCCUGGAGGAAUUGAUUGGUACCUGUCUUCAAAAACAGGUGCAUCUGCCACGAAUCCAGGCUCUCCAAGCUCUGCUUCUAGACCCUGCUUCAUUCCCUGACCUUCAGCCUUACCUAUUGGGGUGUUUGAGCCACCAGCAGCAGAAAUAACAGGACUGGCACUCGGAUUAGCCGGCGGCACCGGAACUUCCCAGUGAGGAGCAGGAGUUGGGAAGGGGUGCAGUGGACCAAUAGUGACGAAGCCUUCCUCAUCUGGCAGUAAAGUGACAUUGUUUCUCUUCAGGAUGUAGCAAGGUGAAGUCCAGGAUUUCCCAUUGGGGGGCAGACCAGUGAUCAACUUGAUGGAGGAUGGGAUCUUGGCGUCAUCAUUGAGGUAGACUUUGGCUGUGACACAUCCUGGCUGGGUGUCAUCCCAACCAAUCAGGAUGCCAAACUGUGAAACUGCCCUUGCGACAUGCUACGUGUACCUCAGAUCCUCGGGGUAGACCAGAAUCAGAAUCAUGGCUUCACGAUCGAUGGGGAAGGCUCUGGCAUUUUCCGCCUCAUCAUGUCGGACGAAGUGCAAGAAGUAAUUACCAAACACAAAAUUCAGUCCCAAGAAUCUAUCACGCUCAAAAGGAUUGCUGAAUUUGACAAAGGCAUCACCAAUAGGGCAGGGUGAGAUCUCGGUACCGUACCUGGUGCACGUCGCGGAAGAAGGCCUUGAGCUCUCUGGCCAGCAGACAGAAGUCGUCCUUGUGCACGGGUGGGGUGAGCUUUGCAAUCGCCAGGUCCUCAUUGGUCUUGUUGUAGCACCCAGUGACGUAAACUUCAUGACGCAGCAGCGGGGAUGCUUGGACGUCAUCCAGCACGAAGCCCUUGGGGACGAAGGGCCUGGGGUCCGCGGCAAAGUUCGCCAUCGGAGAGCUCGAGGGGGGUUCUGGAACUAUUGAUUGGGGGAGCAGAAAGGCGGAGUUCGAAGGAGAUGUAUCCGUGAGACUCGAGGACGGAGAAUAUAUAUCCCUUGGUCGAGACCCUUCGACUUCCUUAACAGUAACAGGCCGAAACUUCUGGGACUUGGAUUUGGAAAGGUAGGAUUUUUGGGAGUGCCCAUACCGGAAGCAGAUCUCGCAGCGGAGUCUGUCGUUGCAUGAAAUACGGUCAUGGCCUAGGCCCAGGCAACGGGGGCAACGAUUCAAAGGUCCAUAACUGGGUUUGGCAAGAUCCAACCGAGCCGAGAUUUCUUGGGGAGACUCCUGAAAAUCAGCUCGGGAGAUGGGCUUCCAAACAGGGAGAGGCCGAGAUUGGCGGGAUCGCAUCAACGCAUUUGAAUUUGAAUUUUGACGAGAUCUGCUGUUCUCAGAACUGAAGGGAUCAAGCUUAUGAUUGUUUCCCAGGAAAGCAUCAGCAUAGUUCUUCGGAUAAUGAAGGCGCUUAAACACUGAUGUUCUAAUAGAAGGAGAGGAUUUGACUAUAUCAGCGUAGCUUUUCAGAGCAGAUUGACUUUUAGGAAUAACGAAGGACCUGCCUGGUCUACGAGAAACCGUGGUCCAUUCAGCAUUUUGUUCAUCAAUCCAGAGGUUGAAUUCUCUAACCCAAUUUGGGCCACCGUUGCCCCAAAGAAAAAAGAAAAUUGCAAACAAUCGGCAGGAGAAAGUUCUCAGACUUUUGAUCAUGAAACCCACCUUCUUGCAGGAAACAUGAAAGCUAAACAUCCAACCGGACAAAUGUUUGACAUGGAAAUCCUUACUACAACCCCCAGGCAGGAUUGCAGUAGGAGACUGACCGUAUCCUCAUUGAGACGGAGGGCUGAGCGGCCAAAACUUGCGACCAACUUGAAGGAGGGGGAAAGUUGGGAGGGGGUCGGACUCACCGAGCAGCCAAAGCGCAGCGAGAUCUGGUUGCCAAACUUGAGCCUAGGGUCGAAGGAGAUGUCCGAGAGCCCAACCAUGGCCGACUUCAGAGGGGGAGGACGCCAUGAGACGGGGAUGGGGAGGGGAGCUGGGAGGUGGUGGGGGGAGGAGGAACCAUGUCGCCACUUGUUGUUUCUCUUGCUAGAUCAAUUGACAACGAACCAAAUUAGCACAUGAAUGGAUUUGCGAUUUUAUGAGAAUUUCUUAGAACCACCAACAGAGAAACCUUGAAUCCUGGUUUAGAACCACAAACAGAGAAACCUUGAAUCCUGGUUGUCAGAUGGUAACAAAUAAAGCAAAUCCAUCUAAAAUCCAACAAACUUUUUUGAAGUAGUGUUCCAGCACAAUAUAUCCCCACGCAGAUAAGAAAUUUUCUCGGUGGACAGAAACAUCCUCUCGGUUGUAGCUCAUCCUGCAAUGGUUGCAGGAAAUUCUCGUGUGCAGUAGAUUUGCUUUCCAGAGGCACUGCGGGGCAGUAUUAACUUGACCAGUGUCCUCUUGAAUCUUGAAAUAAGUCUAUAUAAUAACAAUAAUAAUGAAUGCUCGAAAAUCUGAGAUGGCAAAUAGUGCAGAAAGAAUGCCAUUUGCGACUUCGAUAUACGCUACAGGGGGAAGUUGACAGCCGUAUUAUUCAACGUCAAUAACGUAACCUAGAACUUUAGGAACAAAAGUCCAUUUUUUUUCUGUGACGGAAACUACUACUCUCUAAUAAAUAGCAUUUGGGCCUGGGACAUAUAAGCCCACCCAGAAAAAGAACAAGGAACAGGCCUAAUGGGCUACCUAGCCUGUUCUGUUUCAGCAUGCAGAAACCUACCCAGUAGGGCCAAAGCCCAACUGUACCAGCAUGGAGUACCUUGCAUGCAAAAUCGUACAGCCAAGCAAAUUAAUUAUCUUUCAAACAACGAUUCAGACAGAAGCGUCCUAAAAAAUAAUUCAAACAAACAUGGACUAUUAACAUUGUUAGGAACUAAAAUCAGUAAACGAAAGGACUUGCCAUUCCAUACAAGUCCAGCUUUUUUAACAGAACAUCUAAACAGAGUAAACCCUUAAUAAUCCUGGUUGACCCUACUAUGUUCUGGGCUCUGCUUCUAUUACAUCGCCACUCCCAACAGGAAUCACGUUACAAGGUGUGUACUUCUCCAGGUCAAUCUUGAUUGAGUCUAUAGCUUCUUCCUCUGAAGGCACCAGUCCCGGUGUUGCCGUUAGCUUGCGGCCUGACAGGAGCGUUGGCUUGCACCCCUAUUCUGUAUCGAGCAACAAUCUUAUGGCUGUGCAAGUGCAGCAGGUUAAGGAGACAAGGAGAAGAUAUUUAAAAAUAAAGUAGCAAUAGCGCAGAAAUUGAUCUUAGUUGUAUAUGCAAACUGAAAGAGAAUGCUUUGGCCAUGACCGUGUAAAAGGAUACACCCAUUUCGGAGUCUUGAGGUAGUUCUUUCCGGUGGCAAGAGGGUGCAACACUGCAAAGAAGUAGUAUAGAUGUCCAACCAUGAUACCCAGAAGGCCACCCAUUAAUGGUGACCCAAAUAUCACAUCCAAUAAGAGCAUAACCCAUGGAAGAUAAAAUGCCUGCAAAAGAGAGUACAUCAACAGCUAAUGUAUUAUUCGCAAAGCUUAAUUCGCCUGUUCACCAAUUGAGCAACACAAAGAUGGGAAUUGCAAUCAAUGGUAGUGAAAUUACAUACCCUCAAUUGGACAAGACCAUAUAUAUUUAUCUGAGCAUUCGGAUUCUCUCGGCUCCAGACAUAAACAAGCAUGUUGACCAUAGGUACUCCCAAUGUAUAAGUAUUUAAUAGGGGAAUAACAGACACCACCUGAUUCAAGCAAUACAGAGUUAUACGCAAGUUUAGUAGAAGUUCAAGAAUGUCUCUUGGUUUGGUCUAAAUUGAAAUUCUGAAUGCAGAAAGAACUAUCACUGACCAAUAGUGAGAUGGCACCAAAUAUCAUCAUCCACAAGAAAUCUGCAGUGCGUCUAUCAAAUGCUCCCUUUUCCAGCAUGACACCAUACCUUGCUCUAUGUAAGUCAAUUUCAAACAACCAAAGAUAAUUUAAAAUUAUAGAUACUGUGGAAGUAACAAUAUUUUAUCAUUGGUGUUCAGCAAAAGUGCACAACUUUCACUUACAUCAUCAGAAGGCGAAUACCGAAGUUUAUGGAAAAUGGUCCCAGAAAGAUGAAACUUGUAAAUAGCCUCCAUACCUGCAGGGUCCAUUUUUCUAAUAUAUAAAAAAUGAACAUAUGGAGCAGGACUGCAGAACAUGUAAUUUACAAGUUCCAAGCUAAGUACAUGAUAGACUGCAGAAUAUAUUAAAUCAAAACAAAAAGUGUUCUGAUCUAUUCAUAGAAAAUCAAAUAUAGCAGGGUUGAAUGCAAUACAUAUAUUUCAAAACAAACUCAAGCAAAGUAACUUCCCCUUAAUUGUCAGGCAAGGUAAUCCAGCAUGUUACAAUGUCCUACCUAAUAGAAGCUUACAAUGUUUUGCAGUCAAAACUAAGUGAUACUAAUGUUAAGCUGUAUAGAUGUGGUAAGGGGAAGAGAAAACAGAAACAGAAUCUAACCUGAAACUUCUUAAACACCCAAGGGUAAUAUAAUACAAGAAAACCCCCAUCCACGAUAUGGAGCCGAACUAGCACGGUGGUAAGGAAACACAAUGUCCCAUAUGCCUUGCUUAUAGGUGGAAGUGAUUUGUAGUACCUGAAGAAGGCAAGUGAGCACACAUUCCAAAGCAGCUUCAAAGCAAAAGGACUUUGUACUUGUUUCUUAGUAAAAAGUCUCCAGAAAUUAGUACUCCAUCCGUUCCAGAUUAUACCUUGGCUUUUCUAGAUACAUAGCAAAAUAAGCAAUGUACCUAGACAUAGUGUAUAUCUAAGUGCAUAGCAAAAGUCAUGUAUCUAGAGAAUCCAAAACGUCUUAUAAUUUGAAACAGAGGGGGUAAUAAUUUACAACUAAUGCAUGAGCAGAAAUAAGAGCAGUAGUAGUAAACCAAUGGACAAUACCUUGCUCUAUUAGUUUAGGUAAUAUACAAUCAAGAUACGAAAUUUGCAAUUAGAAGCAUAAGCACAAUGGCAAGGCUAAAGUUACUGGCAUAAGCUACUCCCUCUCAAUUGCAUUAUAGAUUUGUGGUUGAUUCUGCAUAUAUCACUCUGAUGUUUUGUCUCUUCUCUUUUGCUUGUUGCAUUUGAAUGCAUGUGCCAACAGCCAACAUUUUAUAACUUUGGCCACUAAUUUUCAUUUAUUCAUAUUUUUCACAUACAAAUGAUUUUAGUUGAUGCUUCACAGAAUAGUUUAAUUAUUUUGGCCAGCAUAUAAUUAGAACAGGUAAGGAUCAAAGGGUGCACAAUGGAGACUGCUAAUAGUCAAAUUGGCAAUUGAAGCGGAAUGGAGGUGAUUGCCUGCUCAAUUGAUGUGUUUGGUGAAUGGACAGUGGACACUAUAGAGGAUAGAAGAUGAGUACAAAAAUCAUGAGUUCAUAAACUGGCUCAAAAACCCAUAUCAGAACCUCAUGCCUCAAUUAACAAAUUCAAAUAGGAAUAAUUUAGCAGAGCUAAAGGUCACAGGGUCAGAAAAACAGGCCAAACUGGUUCGAUCAUUUCAGCUGGUACAAAAAUGGUGACAGUUUCAGAUGACCAGAUCUACGGAUUUUAACAACCGACAAAAACAUCUUCAAUCAAAUUAUUUUGUUGAUUGGCAGAGUAAUCACCAGUAUCAAGGGCCCUAUAAUCAAAGAACAUCAAAGGGGUGUCUUCAUGAUAUAUUGUACUGUCAAUGAUGCCCCAGCAAAAGCAAAAGAGGAAAGAAAAAAACGAGUGGCGUUUGUAGAUUUCGACAACAGCAAAGUGGCAUAAUAUUAUUAGUAAUUUAUAGAAUACCUCUAUGCAUCAGGUGAUGCACACUCCAGUUCUUCCUUUUGAAAUAAACUAAUCGUGAAUAAUGCUUCAAAUACCCUUGUUAAGGAACCAGGAAUCAUUUUUCGCCAAAGACACUAAGUAUGCAGCACAAACAAUCAUGGAACUAAAUGAUAUAAAAAUCAUCUGUAAGAACUACAUAUUAACAUUGUCAUCACUGACACGUCCAGAUAACCUUCCAGCCCAAGAUCACAAAGUCUGAAGUGCAUGGAAAAUAUAUUGUUAAUUCAAACUUGAAUGAAAAUGGAGCCUGUAAACAACCAAUUCAGGUGCUAGAAUUUUCACAGGAAUAAAGGCAAGUGGUGAAUCAACUUCGCCUCUAAGUUGAAAGACUAUUUAUCAUGAGUGAUAACUACCCUUCAUCUUGUGACAGUCCAAACUCGCAGUACAAAUCCGGAUGAUAUGUAUAUAAGGCUGUACCAGUCCAGCAACAUACAGAUAAUAUCACUAUAGCACCGAUGAACAUGAACCUAUCAGCUAAAAAUCCGCAACCAAUUUCGAAGCCGAACCCUAAGGUACCAAAGAGGCGCCACGAAUCCGCAACCACAGCCCUCUACUGUCGCAACCACAGGAUAAGCCCACACUAUUCUGAUUUAAAAAAAUGAGAGAAUCCAUCGAUUACUGGGAACAGUUCAGCUCGGAUUCCUCUAGAGCAAUCCCCAACCCGAAUCACGGGACGGAGCCUACCAUACGACAUCUACGCGUCGGAAUCUGAGAUCGAAGCUCGGAAUCAGAUGAAACCGCUGUAAGAGUCGAGGGGACUCACUCGGCGGGCGAAGACAUCUUCACGCGUCGAUGGAUCCGAUCCGAGGCCUCUUCGACGUUCCCCUGGUCUAGUCUUCUCCUCUCGCGUCCGCUUCCUUGUUCUCGUCGUCGCGUUCGAAGCUUGGGACGAGGAGGAGGGGGGGAAGAAGAGCUGGGGUUGAAACCGAGGUCGGCCGCGCCUGCGGGAACCUUCCGGAGGAGAGAAGCAAACGCACCGUUGAUCUGCGAUCGGAGGGACGAAGAUGGCUGGACACGUAGGUGUGCGCGCUCCGGCGCAGGCGAUUGGUCGUGCUACGCGGCUGGAUGCUGAGGUGGCCUUGGUCGUGCUACGUCGAACUGAGACGGAGUUUGGAUUAGAACGUUGCAGAGCCUGAUCUACAAUAGUUAGCCCUUGUUUAAAUGCACCCAAAAAUCCAAAACUUUACAAGAUUUUCCAUCACAUCGAAUCUUACGACACAUGAAUAGAAGAUUAAAUAUAAAUAAAAAAGAUAAUUAAUUACACAGUUUAUCUGUAAAUCACGAUACAAAUCUUUUAAGCCUAGUUACUCCAUGAUUAGACAAUGUUUGUCAAAUAAAAACGAAAGUGCUACAGUGUCAAAAUCCAAAAUGUUUUUUGAUCUAAACAAGGCCUUACUUCCUCAACGUAUUAAUCAAUUUGCCUUUUCACAGCUGCAUCGAGCAUACCUAAGUUAGAAUCGUUUUUUGGAUUCUCAACAACAAUAACGAGUUGUUUGGUUAUAGAAACGAAAAUGAAAUAGAAUUAAGGUGAAAACUCUUCUUUCAGGCGACGUACUGUUCAUCUUCCUUCAAUUCUCUCGCCAUGGCGUCCGUACCAACUCGCUCCUUGCCUCUGCUGCUGCCCACCGCCCUACCAAGGCGUAGUACCAUGGAGCUUUGAUGAGCCCCUACUUCGCUCGUGAUGGUCUCCCUCUUCCUCUACCCCCCCCCCCCUCUCUAGGCACCGUUUUCUUCUCUAAUUCUGGCGAACCACCAUGACGCCCCAUCCAACCUGGCCUGAGCGCCUCCACUAUCAGCCACCAGAUCCCCUAAACCGUCCUCCCCAUCACACUGUCUGGUUGACCCUCCUCCCCCAAACUUUCCUUUAUAAGCCCACUAGAGUUGUGAAAGAUGAGAGGAAGAGCUCAUCGAAACCCUAACUCUUAGAUCCACGAAGAGCAGGAGGAGGACAUACCUCGUUGGAUCCACCAUGGCCGCUGCCGGAUCCGCUCACCGGAGUUGGGGAGGUCGCCGAAUUCCUUGAUGGGACGUGGGGAGGAGGUCGCUGGGUGUCGAGGGGGAGAGAGAGAGAGAGAGAGGUGCGAUCGCCAAGCGCCAGAGGGAGAGAGGGAGAGAGAGAGAGAGGUGUGUGGUUGCCAAGCGCCAGAGAGAGAGGUGCAGACAUGGAGUAACGCGGGUCGGGGCGUCGCCUGAAGGAUAUCCAUAUCUUAGGCAACUGAGAUACAAGAAACGUAUGGAAUUAAAGCUAUGGACGUUACUGCCAGCCAUAGCAUUUGAAGUACUUUUAUUCCAAUUUACGAUAUUGUAAUACAAACCAAACAACACGUAAACAACAUUUAGAAAAAAGGUUUUCUCUCGGUUGGUAGGCCGUCCCUAAUCAUACUACUAGAUGUCUAGAUAUAAUGCUAAUACAUACAUAUUAUUUAAAACACCAUUUUUUACAAACAUGUCUUCAAAAUAGCAUUUGACGUUUAUAGCAAUCCAUCGCUCUUGGGUACCUAUGCCUAGAGUCCGCAUGACCCAUCAAACUCUCCACUGAGAUGGUCUGACACCUAUCUUGUAGAUAGGGUUCGAUGUUCAUAGAAUCUUCUUCUCUUGCAUUUUCUUCGUGAUCCUUGCGUAUGGCUCGGUUCCAAACUUGUGGCUUGGACUUUGCUUGAGCUUCUAUGUCUUUAACAUGUCUUAUAAUGUCUUGCUUGAGGUAUUGAUCAUCUAGAUCACAACAUCGCCUAAAUCCAAGCCACCUUUGCACCCUAUUGAACUACAAAACAAACACUUAUAAGUUCAUUAGUCCUACUUGGUCAUGUUGAUCGUCAAACACCAAAAUCCAAAUUAAAUGGGCCAAGAGUUCAUUUUCCUUAGAGGCCUAAACCUAAGUUGCCUCAUGGUGGAUUCGAACUUUGUUGUACUAACUCGAGCAAUCCCCGAUCCAAGCCGUCCAUACUUUGCGCCUCCACGACUCUUGCUCGGUUUGACACUCUGUGGUGGUUGUUGUUGCCCUUGCUUUGUUCCACACGAAAUGUUCAUGUUUGCAUGGUUGCAUGGCUUUGCACACACUAGACAUACACUCAUGCUUAGCAGAUCCGCCCUACAUGGCCACCAAUGUGGAGAAGCCCCAUGGAGCAGGCAUGACUGUAGCAAGAAAUAAAAGGUGUACUCUCUCUAUCCCAUAAUAUUUGAUCUUCCAGCAUUCAAAAUUUAUCCCAAAAUUAGUUGUCAUACUCGCUUCACAAUACACCUUUAUCUUUUCCCAUUAUUUCACUAUCUGUAUCUUUCCCCUUCUUGUCUCCUAUGCACUAUACUUUCUUCACUCCUUAGUUCUAGGGCCCAAAGCUAAAAUCAUCUAUUAUGGGAUUUGGGGAGUAAGUCAUAAACCAAAAACAAACUCGUUUGCCUUUUUGUUUCGAGUGAGACAAAGUUAUCUUAAUAAAUAGAGUAUUCCUUAGAGCAUCUCCAAGAGUUUUGUAUUUGGACUUUGCAUUCUUGUAAUUUGCCAAAAAUCAUAAAAAGAGGUAUCCAAUGAUUUUGCAUUUGGAGUUUGCAUUUUGGGUAACUUGGCAAAUGAGAGAGCAAGCUUGGCAUAUAUGCCAAGCCGCGCACGGCUUGGCAAAAGACCGAUCGCGCGUGUCUCCCGGUCCCCCACGCGACCUGGACUUUCUUCGCGCCAUAUAUCGUGAUCGCGAGCAACACCAUCGUCGCCGUCCGCUACAGAACUCACGAGGGAUUCCAUCACGACAGUCGGGCUGGCACCGCGGCGGCACCUGCAACGAGUCUGAUACGAGUCGUCGCGGAGGCACCUGCAUCGAGCGGUGGGGAGCAGGAAGAACUGACGGCACGAACUGUGAGAAAAAUGCGAGAACCGCGGUGACUUUACGCGCGGGAAGACGAUCGCGAGCGCACGCGAAGGAAAAAAAUCACAGCCGGGUCCACUUUGGCUAAUUGUGAACUCAAUUAUGCAAAACCCUUGGAGAUGACCUAUUUUAAACUUUGCAUUUUGUUUUAGGAGUUUGCAAACAACAACAAAUGCUAACUCAAUUAUGCAAAACUCUUGGAGCUCUAUAGCAAACACUACUAAGGUUCCCUUUGAAUCCUGGUGGAUCCUAAAAAUUUAGAUUAAAAAUCUAGUGCAUUCAUUGGAUUUUGUAUGUACGUACUAAAAUUCAGUAGAAUCUAGCAUGUUUGGAUGAUUUUUUUUAAAAUCUAGAACAGAGCCUAAAAACAAGAAUAUCCGUCUUUCAAAUUAAACACCACCUUUAAAGUAGUGACUAGUGAAAUCCGCGCCAUCGCGCGGUCAGGUGAGUAAACACACUUAUGUUAUACACAUGCUGCUAAUGCCCAUAAUGAGACCAUGGUGAUGGAGAUAUACAUGUACACGAUGCGUAUAGUACAUGUGUAUAGGUAUAUGCAUACGGUACAAUGUGCAGGUAAAAAUUACAUAUACUGGUAGUUUACUACGUUAGGUGGAAGGACUUGGUCUAGUUCUUCUAUGCCUUCACAAACAUUUCGAUUCGUAGGGGUCAGCAAAUGAAUCAGUGAUCUGCCAACUGGACGAAUCUGUUCACAUAGCAUGAAGUUGUUAACAGCAUAUGAACCAAUCAAGAGGGGGGCAGAGAAGGGACAAAGAGAUCAAAAAUCAUUGAGUAACAUAAAAUCUGACAUCAUUUGGAGUCCUAUAUGAAAAAUUAGAAAUAUUCAUAAAACAAUGAAUAGGAAAAAAAACUAAGUAGUUCAGCCAAAACAAGGAUAACACAUUGAUCUGAUAGAACAGAGUUUUAGUCCCCUUGGUUUACAUGAUGGAUCUAUGUGAUUAUAACUAAGUUGAGCAUCAACAAAUGUUAUAAUUGAAAAAACUGAUACUUUGACAACCAAACUAAUAUUCUUGAAACAAAAUCAUAAAAGAACAGAUUGCAAAGAAGAAAUGAUAUUGUGCCACUGCAACAUGUACCAGGAGCGAAUAUGCAUAAUAGGCACAUUGUAAAAAAAGUUGCCUUUUUGAAUUGAAUUUGCUUUAAUUUCUAUUCUAUAGAUCUUAGUUGAUGACAAUUAAAUAUAAACCUCACCUAUGGAGAAGCAACAUCCUCAUUGUAGUGGAUCUUGUAAACAGAAAAUCACACCUCUAGACCAAAUUGUGGCCAAUGCAGCAAGCUACAGAACACAAAGUAUGCAUACUGAGGGAAUGGAUGAAGCAACAAACUAUACACCAAAUCGCACAAAAUCACCGGCCUUAUUGAAUGUGCACUAACAACAUGCUCAUCGGGCAAUCAAAGCACAGAUGGAAGCUCCCAUAUUGUUUGCAGGUACCUCACAUUGAUGGCAGACUAGAGAAGCACCGGGAAUUUAGCAUCUUGUAUGGCAAGGGGAAUAGCUUAUCUGCAGUGUCAAAUCAACUAUAUUAGUAAGAGAGGAAAGAAAUAGAGACCCAAAUUCUUGCAGCCUAAGUCAUCUGUUAGAACCAACACAAUGAAAAGGAGGAGAGAGCACGUGGGGACUGACCAAGCAGGAACAGAAAGAGCAACGCAAAUACAUCUGAAGAAAAACAGAUAGAUCUAAAAUAUUCGAGAUAGAAGAAGAAGACGAAGCUACUGCAUGAAAAAAUGAGGACAACAGCCAUUGGGACAUUCAUUUUUUUACCUAUUAUGAAGUAUCCUUAUUAUUGUUAAUCAUCUAGCAACUAUAUGUAUCUUUGUUCAAUAAACAUGGAUAGACAAAUCUUCGCCAUAAAUUAGUAACAAAGAGAUUCCAUGUGCAGAUUGGGAGGACACCUGUUGUUUCUUUGGUUUGCUGAAUUUGAGCAUCAGGCAGCAAUUAACAAUGCUCUUCAAUUUCUCACCAUGAAGGUCAUUUAAAUUGCAGAAAAUAGGAAUCUUGGAUAUCUCGAUGCAAACAACAAGAUCAGCAACACCACCCCUAUCUCCAGCAGUCAUACUGUCAACCUCAUCCAUGAUUAGCAGAGCAUCAGGUUUUUUGACCUUUGUGGCCACUUAAUAUAUAAUAAUCAUCAAAAUACAAAGUCAAAAAAAACAUUCCUCAUGCUGCUACACCAACAGAUUGUGACUAUAAUUCAGAGUUGUGUUGCUAAUAAGGUCCUAGCUGAAGAAAAUGAAAUAUAAAUAACAUAUUAACAUGAGAAAUACAAAAUUAGAAACAAAAAAAAUGACAGUGACCUGAUUCUCCAGAGUAUGGGAGCAUAAUAGCAGGACGAAGCCAACAUCCAUAAUAUGGACAGAACAGUCAUGUCUCAGAUAAUCAGAUCCAAUUAACUAUGAGCAUGAAAAAAUUAUGUAUUAAGUUAUGUUAAGCAGGAUUCCAUGACAUGGCACCCAACUAUAGAAUCAUUAGGAGUCAGAAGUUCCAGUCCACCUCGUUUUUCAUCUUUAGCUGGAGUAUUGGUUGUCUGCUUGUACAGGAUCCUUUGCAAGCUUAAAUUUUUGGAUCAAAUCAAAUAAACCAUCUAUAGUGAAAAAAUGGGACAAUGCAAGUAAGUGCAAGUACGCAUGAAAAUCAAAUAAACCACAUAAUACACGGUGCAGCCAUAACCAAACUUUACUUUCCUUCCAUAACAACUGAAAAAACUACCUAACAGAGACAUGCACAUUGCCUAAUUUGACUUACACUGAAUAUUUUCGGUAUUGAAUUAGACGUUCUUAACAACUAAUUAUGUAGAGAUUUUUUUUAUUCCCCCCCGGCUACUUGAUGGCAACCGGAUUAAGGUGGACAGCCAUCUCCUAUUGGUCAUUUUGUGCAAAAAUAAUUCCAAUUAGGCCAUUGUACUAUCUAUUGCAUAAAUUUAUAUUUUCUAAGUAAAGUUGAAUCUCUAAAAUUCUCUGUAAUCGCAGUAAUUAAUGGAUCUCUAAAAUUGUCUGUAAUCAUAGUAAUGUACCUCAACCAAACUGUGGAAUCAGCCAUAGGAAAUAACAGGAAUUAUACACAUGUUGUCUUGAACAUGCGGAAACUCCCUUCCUUUGUACCUGAACAAUCAUAGACGAGGAAGGGAAGAAAACAAGCUGAAAUCAAUCCUGAAAAACAAUAACGAAACCAGAUCAGAGGAGGUAACAAGCAUGUAACCAAUUUGUAGCACGCGUAUAGGUAGCUAGGGUUUUGGCAACCAGAGGAGCGCCCGUUCCUCGGCAGGAGAAGGCAUUGAGGAUCCCACGCGAAUGAUGAGGGAGAGGGAGGUGGCCACCAGGCCCCAACCGCACUAGCGCUCUGCCCGCAGGGGCCGCCGUCUCGUCACGCCUGCCGCCGCCUCGCGCCUGCUGCCGCCUCGUGCGAGAAGGGUAGAUAGAGGAAGGGGAGGGAGAAACAGAGAUGAGAGGCAGCCGAGGGAGGGCGGCGGAGGAGGAGGGCCGACGCCGACGCCGACGCCGGCUUGUGCCGCGCCAUCGCCCUGCCCGCAUCGGAGAUGAGGAGAGCGAGAUAGAGCGAAGAGAGAGAGGAGGGGGUGAGAAGCUAGAUGGAGAAGCGGAAGUUGGGAUAUAUAUUUGCCUCUGUAGAUUCGGAAGAGAAGCAGAGGAAGCAGGGGGGAAACGGAAGAAUCCAACGAGAAUCAGCAGAAUUGGCUUCCGAUAGAAUCCGCUUCAAAAAAUCGUGGCCAUCCGAUGAGAGAUCUGAUGGCCAGGAGAAUUCCGGGCGACAUGGCCCCUGCUUCUCUAACUGGAAUCUGUCGGAGAAUUUAGGGGAGAAUUAUACAGUGAUGAGUAGGAUCAUAAUACUAGGUCCUUUUACGGAAAAGAGAAAAACAAGACUAUAGUAGAAAGCCCAACACGAGGGCUGCGCUGCUGUACUCCAUGCUUGUGUUAACUGAAAGAUUCGGUUAUCCGUUGUGUGCUAACGUGUUAUUGUAUAUUCAGGUAAUUAGUAUUUUACCUUUUUCAUGUUUUAUUGUUUUGAUUGAUUGAUUUUGUUACUCCAUUUGUCCAAGUAGUAUAAAACAUUACUAGUAUGGAGUAUUAUUUAUGAUAUUUAGGUAAUUAGCGUUUUUGUUCUUUUUAAGUGUUGGCUUCGUACCGCUUUUGUUUGGUUCGAUAAUGCAUUUGAGGAGAGGCUCGCCCUCGGUUCCUCCUGUUUUUCGGGGAAAAAAACGGAUAUCAUACAAGUUUGAUGAUAUUCGUUAUGAAAUGUACCUUUUACAUCUGAAACACAUAUAACUGCCAUUAUUUAAAUUAGAUGUAAGAUUACAUUUGUGUUUUUUUUUUGACAGAGAUAGAACACGUUUUCAAUUGAUUGAUUUGGAUUUUCUUGCUGAGCGUUUGCAGCUGAGGCUGUUGGUCAAAGAGAAUGGAUCUAGUACGUGUACAGUGCGCCACGGCAGGGUGGCUGACUGGCUGGUUGAUCGAUGGUGACUCACACGUGACGGGAGUGACGCGACCAAAUAUUUUCGGUUUUGAUUUGGCCGUCCUUGUUGUCCCAGCCCUUGCCUUUGCCAUGUGCCGGUGUCAUGCUGCCAUGCCGGCCGGUGCUUCUUGAUCUUAUCCCAACCGCGCGUGCCGUCCGGACCACGGCUGCCGCGGGCACCAGCAAAACUGGGCGGUCCUCCGAGAAAACCACGUCCCCGCGCGCAACACCAGCGGCCGUUCGCUGAUUCCGAUUCCGCCGCGCGGAGGGAGAGCGCCAGAGCGGCCCGUGCCCCGUGAGCCGGUCCGCGCCUCCUUCCCGUCUGCUAGACCGAACCCAACGAGAUGAUGCUAAAAGACGCCCAGAAGAUUUGUUGAACCGUGCAUCAAAGUCAAACUUAUCAUACCACGCUUUCAAGUACUCCAAUGAUUAGUAGUAGUAGUAGUACUACUGUAUUAGCCUUCGUAAGGCCCAAGUAAGGUGAUAGGGGGGCUCUGACCUGUGACUGUGUGUGCGACCACAAAAGGCCGACCUCCAGCGUCCGUAAGCCCCAAGUAACAUGGAAUCCCCUCCACUUCCUUUGAAUUCAACACAAGACUGCAAAAUGGAGAGAGAGAGAGAGAGAGAGAGAGAGAGAGAGAGAGAGAGAGAGAUUUGAUUUGAUCUCAUUCAUUUUGGCUACCCCUUUUUCAUUCGUAACCCAUUCAAGAAAAAAACAAAAGGUUGUGGGCACCUAGAUCUUGCUUAAAAUUCUCGCUUAAUGAAUUUCACUCAAGUUCCUUCUUCUAUUUGGAAACCGUAUGCGGUCUCGGUGCCUGCCGCCCUGCCCAAUGAGACAUGGAACAGCAUCGUACCGACUCACAGGCUACAAUAGAAAUAUUUUUUUUUUAUUUAGGCCUUGUUUGGAUCUUGGCCGCUAAAAAAUUUGUGUUUGCAAGCUAUUUAUAUUUAUUUUCGAGUCGUACUUUAGCACGUUUUUCAUUAAGCAAAAUAAAAGACUUUGCUACCGUUAGUGUGAAGUUAUGGUAAUCCAAGGAUUACCGAAAGUCACAUCCAACACCCACACCACACUCGCAUGUGGUUGUAAUUACACCAAAACUACUGAGCGACAGAGGUGUUGGUGGCGAGGGAUUAAUUAUCCUCAUCCAACCCGAUCAUAUCCAAGUUCAUGGGCGAUCGGGUCACUCCCCACCCAAAAGAAGCUGCAACGCCUCGUGUGUGGAGUCUGACAGCAGCGCCUUGAAGGUAGCUUUGUACUUGCGCACCGUUUCAGAGUCAACAUUGGAUGAUGGUGCCACUAUUCCCAAUUUCUCCAUGAGAACACACUGAGCCUGUUUGCAAGCCAUUUAUGUUGGGCGCAACACCAUUAAAACUCAGCAUGUAAGAUCGUUUGACAUUACAAUUAGCCUUUUUCUUCUCUUGUGAAGCUUGCUCUUCUCCUGUUUUUGGCUUGCAACAUCAAAUCAAAUCAAACUGAACCAUACCAAAGCAUCUAGUAAUCCAAGCACACCGUGACUGAUGAUACAAUGCUACUCCGGGCCAAAAUCAAAAGGCAAAAGAAGCAGCUCCUCCUAUCUCUUUUUCUCUGCGUACGUUGAUUCGAUGACCAAAAUAAAAGAUCAGCAAAUUUUAUCUUCUGCUACUGCGCGUUGCUGAGUGAGGUGGGUUUUAUCAGCACCAUCUUGACCGGGCAACAGCCCCCGGUCUUGUUUAGAUGCGAAAAAAUUUUGGAUUUCGCUAUCGUAGCACUUUCGUUUGUAUGUGGUAAAUAUUGUCCAAUUAUAGACUAACUAGGAUUAAAAGAUUCGUCUCGCAAUUUAUCGGUAAACUGUGCAAUUACUUUUUAUUUUUGUUUAUAUUUAAUGUUUUAUGCAUGUGCCUAAAAAUUGACGGAGAAUCUUAAAAACUUUUUAAUUUUUAAGAUGAGGAUAAAUCGAUCAUUUCCCUUCUCGCCUCCCUCCCUCGCUCCUGCUUUCUCCGUCUAUAAAUAAAGCCCUCCCAAAACCCGAUCCCAAAAACAAGCAGCGCUCCAUCCAGUUUCCAUUAGCAAUCGCAUUCAUCCUCUUUUCGCAGCAGCAGCAGCACCCAGCAAUCAACCAAACAAAGCGGCGAUGGACGGCGGCAAGAAGAGCCGGAACCCGCACAAGGUCCCCGCGGACUACCGCAGCGACCGCAAGUCGGCCUCCGGGAUGAGCGGCGACCCCAAGAAGGGCGGCCGCGGCGGCAAGUUCACCUGGGAGGGCGCCGACGGCUACGCCGACGAGGACGUCGGCCUCGUCUCCUCCAAGAACGCCAACACCAACCGCGCCACCAAGGGUGGAGGCGCCGCCGGCGCCAAGAAGGACGACGACGACGACGAGUAGGCCGGCCUCUCGCCGCCUCGGCCCGCCCUCCCCCCGUCGAUCGCCAGCAAGAACCAACAAGUCCUUCCUACCUAGUUUGAUUCCAGUCUCAGUUCGAUUCUCGUGUUGAAUAAAUCAUGAUCGUGUGGGUUUAGGUGUCGUGCUCGCGAGUAACACUGAGCACAGAGCCACUGGGCGAUCCACGGGCCGUGCAGGGUCUGUAGAUAUCAUCUCAUCUGUUCUUCGCUAGUACUUUGCUGAUUUGCUCAUGUUCAGGGGCCUGGCCUCGAUUCGGUUCUUGGAUGAACUGAUUUAUUAGUUUCCGGAAUCGAUGCUUUCAUUCAGUUAGCGUCUCCUGCUCUCCACUGCUCAGUCCCUGCUCUGGACUGCGAAAAUUGAGGACAGAUUUCUCUUAUGCUUUCAGAUGAGGUGCAAUUACGAAAGCAAAAUUAGCAUUUCGCAACUAACUCGCAGAUCCGUAACUGAAGAAGACAGCAAGGAAGGAAUUGGGAGGAUUGCAAUGUUUUUGUUGGUUUCUUUGUUUGUCAGGGAUUCCAAUGUUUAUCUUUGUAGGCGAUAACGCUGACUCAGCAAGUUCCCCAGCCAUCUUUCUUGAUGGCAAGACUAUUGUCUGUUGUCACCCGUGCCAUGCCUACAUGUUCCUAGCAACCAGUGUGCAGACAUUUCGCUGUAGCGGUACUGAUCAAAUGGAGCAAACGACGCAUCUACUGAAUUAUUUUAACAAAAACAGAGUCUGCUUAAUCUCUGUCGCAGUUCCAUGAUAUACCAAAGCGAAAGGGUUGGUUCCAUUGUACUCUGAGCAGUUUAGUGACCAUGCCGUUCUCUGCAUUUGGUCAUGCACAGUUGCAGAGUCGCUCUCGCGAUCGUUGUCCACCACUAGGGUAAGAAAGUCAUUCAUCCUCACUAUUUUUUAACCUUUUUUGACACAGGAGAUGGCUCCCCAUUGAAAUUGAAAUAUAUCUAAAGGUGACCUGUCGUAUGCCUCUAUCCAGUAUCCACAAUACAGCAGUUCUAAUCAUGUUGUAUGGAUAACCUGGGAAAAAAAAUCCGGUAUGGUAUGGCCUCAGAUGACUCUGGCUCCUUGCUAUUUUUCUUGAUGGAGCUGGUUGCGUGAUAGAGCUGGAGCAAAACCGAAUGGGUUUGUUUGGCAGGACUCCAACGUUUUUAUGGUGAAACCAUUUUUAAGUAAAAAGUAGAGAAACUAGAGUCGUUUUGGCAAAGUCACAAAUUAUAGCUUCUCCAAAACGGCUCUGGCUCGUCUAGAAGAUCCUCUCGUGAUGAGCCAUACCAAACACCACUUAAGUUUCUUUUGGUUCAACGAAUCAUGAACAACUAAAAUGUACCAAUACAGUUUAAGGCAAGCACGCAGCAUGAAAACUACAUGAAACAAAGGUCAUACUAAGAACUUUAACUAUCUUUAUAGCUGUAUAUGUUUAUGUUCGUACCUACUUUCUGGAUACAAAGAGAUUUGCGGUCUAGUGACGUUACUCUAAAAUAUUUACUCAUGGUGGGGUAACCUCUUCUAUUCUAGCUUAUACUUAGGGACUGUUUGUUUGGCUCAUACAUGCUCGACUUUGGCUCCUUCUUCCUUGUUACUCCCUAUGCAGUCCUAUAGCAAUGAAGAUAAAAGCUUCAGCUCCGGCAUAGCCUAGAAGAGAGCCAGGAUACCUGCGGUUUGGAGGCUUCUCCCGGCUCCGCUACGAUAGCGGAGCUGGAGCCACACCAAACACAACCUUACUUUGGCUAUACUCUCUCGAUGUGUGUGUGUGUGUGUGUGAGAGAGAGAGAGAGCGCGCGUGGUUGUGAUGGGUUGGGGGGAGCUUAAAAAAACUAUGAAUGAUCUUUUACAUGCAUAUGCGUAACUCCACAUGAUUUUUUAGUUGCGCUUAUAUUCAUCACUAUAUAACUUGGGUUAAACUCUCCAUUGUGUCUUUCCAUUAAUGGACUCAUAAGUUUUAGAAUGGAAUGUGAUUUUGAAAAAUUCCUAUCUCUAUGUGAGAUAUUUAGGUUUUGUGUAAACUCCAUAGACAUACAUAAGAGAAAUGCUAUCCCCACUGUGACUAAGACAAGACUUCUGUCAAAAGUUUAUUGCGAUCUUUUUGUCCAAAUAACAAUUAAGGUGAAGCGGAUCUUUAUGAUAAAUAUAUCUAUUUUGCAAGCUCAUUAUUUCAGGUAGUCCCUACAAAAAAUCAAAUUAAUGACUUAUACAAUGUUUGAAUUAUCAAUGUAAACACUGCAUAGUUAGUUCUCAUCUUUUAGAGACUAAGUGUAAUAGGAGCAUCCAUUAGCAAAUGGAUCACCAUGAGAUGAUCAUCUAAUGGCAUAAUCAAAUCAUAUGGUUCUAUUUCUCAACCAUUAUGACUUGCUCUUAAAGAACCAAGAUCGAAAGAACUGAAAAAGUAGGUCAUUCACAACCACUAACCAAGGAUUCCUGAAAAAGUUGAUGAUUGGUAGUUCUUUCUUGAAAUAUAUUUUGAAAAAAGAACAAAUCCAGUCUUAUACAUAUGCGAGGUAGGUAAUAAAAAAAUAUGAUUUUUCUUUCUUUUAUUAGUUAGGAGACGUGUAAGAAGAAAGUCCCAUGUACAUUUUUGCAUAAGGGAAAUAAAAGAAGGGUCCUCUUUUCGACUCUAACUCCUUUGGUCUAGUGGUUGCUUUUCAUUUUGUUACUUUAAAAAUAGUUACUUUUCAACUCUGUCUUUAAUAAAGGAAUGUAUAAGUCAAGGGGAUAACCUCGAUACACACCAACACAGAAUGAACUUCCCCUUCCACAUGUAAAUUUGCAAAUAUGUAGAUCAUUGCAAUAGAACAUACAUCUUGUUGUGAGAUUAUCUACAUGACUUGUGACUCAUAUAUUUGUGCAACAAUCGUGUCAUCUGUGUUCAAAACUUCUAAUACGUCUUGAAACUAGGCUACAUAGCAUGAUUAGACGUGCAUUGUUUGAAACAUGGUGUCAUGUGUUGAUUUGGAUUUUGUUGGCUUUGGAUGUGGAUGACAAGAUGGAGAUGCAGGUGGGAGAGUGGUGUGGUAGGAUGGACCAUCACUACUACGCGUUUCAUUUUGCGUUGCGUUUCACAUAUGGGCUCUGAGGCGGGGGUUACUUUUGUCCGCUACGGUUAUUUAGGGACGGCUCAAGCCGGCUAGCCCACAGGACAACCGCUAUGGUUACUAGUUAACCGUGGCGGGAAAUGUUAACUAACCACCACGAUUAAUAUCUAUUAACAUACAUGAAUGAUGUGAAUGAUGUGUGUUUAUGAAACAAUGAUGUGAUCACUAAUAUUGGUUCGUUUAACAUGCAUGAAUGUAUAUAUAUAUAUGUUUGUCAUCUAUUUGCUGCUAUAUCUAUAUUUCCAUUAGCAAAAUUUAAAUUCAAAUUUGAAAAAAGAUUUUUUAAAUGUAAAACAUUAACAAAGGCGGGCAAUUAAAAACAACCGCCUCCAUUAAAACUUUAAUCAAAGUGGGCUACAAUAACAACCGUCUUGUUUAAUCAUUUAACCGUGGCGGACUACUUAAGACAACUGCUACAGUUAAUAUGUAUUUACCGUGAUGGUUGCCUUAUGUUGUCCACCACGGUUAAAGGAUUAACCCAGGCGGUUCCAAGAACCACCUUGGUUAAGCCACAACGAUUAACCGUGACAUUAUGACCAUGGCGGUUGUAAAAACUGCCACGGUUAAGUUUUUCUGUAGUAGUGCAUCCCAUAGAAAAGGCAGGGAUAGAAUUUUUCUCCUUUGAAUAUAAAAGUAUAGAUAUAUCUGUCUCACUCUCUCCCUAACUCUCACAUAUCUUCUUCUGUCCCUCAAUCUGUCUCCCUCACUCACACUCACAGAUCGAUCUGUCUCCCUCACUCACACUCACAGAUGGCAAACACUAGGGCCGGUAGAUUGCAUUCUACUUUAGAGUUUGGAGCUGCAAAAUCUUCAUUGGUGCCGAGAGUUUGAGCCCUGGUAGAUUGUAUUAUCUUCCAACAUGACGUCGCUUAUAGUUUGGAGAUUCAUAACCUUCACAGGUACUACACCGCUCAUGUUGUGGCGUAGCCACCUGAGCCCAUGUUGUGCGAUCGUUUGGCUUGCCUUCAUCUUUCUUAACCUCACAAUAAGUGCACACAAUAUAGCCACCAAUUUAAUAAACUCAAUAUCCAAUCAAUUUUCUAAAGGGAGCAUUUACUGCACCUAGCAUCUAUUUUGAGCCUGAUAAUUUAUUUAAAUUACUCCCUCUGUCCUGAAAUAUAGUGUAUUGUGAUUUCUAAAAUUUGUAUUGAAAUAUAGUGCAUUCUAUAUGUAUCAAUGCCUAGAUUGGUAAAGUUUAUUAAAAAGAAAACUGUAAUUUAAGGAGAAACACCUUAAUUGGUAUUAAUCUAUGGGUACAUAUGUCACUUAAGGAUCCUCUCGAAUUAUCUUAAAAUAUUUAGAAUGCACUGUAUCACAGGACGAAUGGAGUAUGAAAUAGUUGAAAUAAGGUUAGGCCAAGUCUAGUUAAAUCUAAUAAAGAUACCUAUCUCAUCAUCAUUGUAUGAAGUGUUCUAAGCGAUUGCACAACAAAUUGUAUGUCAUGUUGUAUGACACGGCUAUGUGUUUGUAUGUAGCCAUGGGUAAAUUUAAUUAACGAAUGAUCUGCUUUUUUCGUUGCCUAGUUGGAGUGAGUGAAGUUGGGCCAGGCUUUUAUAAUACUGAGGUGAGCUAUCAGAACGUCAGUGGCAGAGCUGGCCAGGCGUGGCAUCUUGGCCCAAUACAUGGGGGCCUGCUAGCGUGAAUAGUCCGAUGGCACUUCCCGCUCAAUUGAUUCUCGCGCGUUGGUUAGGCCCGCUCGCCCAAUUGAUCCCGUAUAGUAGCGCGCAGGGGCAGAUAGCAGGCGUUUGGUGCAAUCUGCCCACCUGCAGGGUCCACCUCAUUCAUGUUGUUUUCUACUUUCAUUAAUAAACUUUUAAAAGUUAUAACUCUUAAACCAAAUAUUUAAGUUAAAAUUCGAUUACACCAUUAGAUUUCUUGUAAUAAAUCCUUCAAAACAAGAUCUCACAUAAUCAUAACUCUUAAAUUAACCAUUCAAAUUGAAAUCCGAUUACACCAUCAGGUUUCUUGUAAUAAAAUCAUUCAAAACAGGAUCUCACAUAGAUAUAUUUGGAUAAAAUUUAUUAACACCCAUUUAUUUUAUAAACAUAGAAUAUUUCUUUUAUUGAGUAGAGACAAUAUUCAAGGUUCAUAGAACAAUGUUCUAUUUUUGUAAGAAAAAUAUUCUCAGUUUAGAACAAUAGUGUUCCAAUUUUAGGUUCAUAAAAUUUAUAUUAUAAUACAUAUGAAAACAAAUAAAUACAUAACAUAAACAGAAAAUAAUAUAAUCUAGAGCAAAACAUAAAGAAAAAAAAUAAAACACGUAAUAAAAAAUUAAAAGAACAUCAAGGAAUAUUUUUGAAACGUCCUAAAAUAUACUAUAGAAUAUGUACUAAGUAAAUGUUGGCGUAUCGUAGCAUCACUAAGAAUAAGUAAGACCCAAUCAUCAGUGGCUAGGUUGUCACCCCAGUUUGACACUUGAAAUGCACGGGUGGUAAUGAAUAUGCAAUGCUCUCUUGAAAUAAAUAUAGAAUAAAGUAUCCGUAAACGCACAUAUGUAACACCAUUGUAGCAUUUCACCAAGACACCAGGUAUUGUUAUUUAUAAUUUUACCUAUGGGAAGGAUAGCCAAGGAAUUAAAUAUCACUUGCAUGUAUUCUCAAGAGAUAAACCAUAUCUUUAUCUAUCUAUCUAUCUCAUGUAGGGAUGAGACAUAUGAUAAAGAUAUAUAUAAUGAAUAAUAAUGAUAAACCAUACAUAAAAUGAUAAAUGUAUCUCUAUAGUACUCCACUCUAUAGCACUAGCAUGAAGUACGAAGAUCUACGAGGAUAAUUCCUAUGUAAUUCUAAACUAUAUAAUCAAAGCAUAUCAUGAUUAGUGCAAUUAUACUAGGCAAUCAUAGUAAGACAAGGUUAUAUCUACAUAAGGACAUUACUAAAGAAAAUUAGGAACAGAGUAAUCAUUUCCUUGUAACCAGGGUCUACAGGAAGAACUACAUUCGGGAGGUGGACUACAAAGGACCCAAUAGGUUUGUCGUACCUACGAUCUACCACACGGCCCGAAAUAUUGGGUGCAAACGUAGGCAAACACGGUGUAGGCACCACACCUACACAAUGUCGACCACCCACCAAGGAUAUCAAUGAGCGAGCGCUAUACGAACAUAUGUUUGAAUAUAAAUCUAAUCUUUAGCUAACCAAGCAUAUAAUCAUAAUAGACUAAGAACAAUAUAAUUGAGAAUAUAGGCAAAUAGAGCAAAGUCAUAUCCAACAUAAUAGAAUAGAGCAAGCAUAUAAUGAGAUAAAUAAUGUAUACAAUGAUGAACUAGAAUAAAGAGAAAGAUUACAACCAAGUAUCUCUUUGAUGGAUCCAGAAACCAACCAAGGUUUGCCUCCUACUAGAUCUAUCCUAAGUAGCUAUGCUUCUAAACUAUGGAUCUCUAGAGAGACGUUGGCUUGAUUGUAUGGAAUGACUCCUUCUCUUCUAAUGAAUGAGAAUGAUCUGAAACCCUGGGGUCUGGCCCUCCUUAUAUAGCCUGGUGGAAUGAUUUAUAGCCAUUAGAUCAAACCGACUUAAUUGGACGAAGAUUAUUAAUCCUUAGAGGCGGUUUAGUCCAUGAUCCACGCCCUCAGCCCUAAUUGGCUAAGGAGGGGUGGGCGCCUUGGGCCCCUAGGGAGGGCGCCCUGGCCCUAUGCCAGGUGGGCAGGCUCAUCUCAUAGGUUGGGGUAGGUUGUGCGACGGUCAGGGGUCCAUAGCCCAAGGGGCCCAUGAGUGUACCCAUCUAUAGUACAUGUAUUCAGGUUCAUACGGUCCAUUUGAUUAUCCUGCAACUAGUCCGCUUAGCCAACGCUUCGUAUUCACGCGUGAUGUAUCCCAUGGAGUCGCGACUUCCUUGCCCUGGACGCAGUGAUGGCGUGCUGCUGUGCCGCUGCAGGCUUGCAGCCAUUCAGGCAUUCCCUAGGCCUGGAGUUCCCCUAUCGAUCAAUCUCCAAACCGUCAACCGUAAGACUAUGAUCACAUAUUGAGUUCCCCGUUCAGUAGUCUUGACCUUGACACAACGGAUGUCAGACUGAAGAAGAUAACUUGGUUAGGGCCUAACUGUUUGCACUAAUUUCUGUUCAGUUAGGGCCUAACUGCUUGCACUAAUUUUCUAAAUUUCUAAUUCAAUAUAUUUUUUGAACAUCUUAGAUGUUGUCUAAGAAACAUGUUAAAAACAAAAUUUAGAUGCAUAUUGCUAAUGAUGUCCGAAGGCGGUUUAUAGGUUUAUUUGUGGUAAUCAUAAUAUUUAUUUUACCAUUCUUUUAGCUUCUUUGGUGUACUGCAUUAUUUUUUAUGAACUAAUUACAUGUUGCAAGGAAACCCAUAUAAAUAGUAUUAUAUAUUUCAAUCGUCAUACUAAAACAUUAGAUUGUUGGGUCUAAAAAUGUUGAGACAACUCUAUAGGUGGGUGUCCCCUUGGCUAGGGGUCUUCCCGACUCUUCUAGACUCUUCUUCUUCGUAUGUGGCGUUGAUAUAUCGUUUCUCUCUAUGUAAUCAUGACAUGUGGCCAUGUGGCCUCUCUUGGUCAUUUCCUGAUCACCCCCUACAAAAAUAGAUAUUCAUCAAAACCUGUGAAAUUCUGAUAGAUAAAACCUUAUUCUAUUGUUGGUGAUUGUUUUAUGCCUUUCUUCAUUCUCUUGUUGAUAUAAAAAAGAUACUUAUCUACCGUCAAUAGUAAACAUAACUAAAUACACCAACAUCACAAAACACAUUAUAGAAUAUCGUAUAUAUUACAUGAACAUCACUAAAAACAUCAUAGAACACCAUAUGUGUACUAGGUGAAUAUCAUAAAAUACACUAUAGAACAUCACUAACUACAUUAUAAAAUAUCACAUACAUAUUACGUGGACAUCACUAAAUACAUCAUAAAAUAUUACUAAAUAUAUUAUAGAACAUCAUAUAUAUGUUACACAAACAUCACUAAAUACGUCAUAGAACAUCACAUGUAUACUGAGUGAACAUCGCAAAAAACAUCGCAUAUAUAUUAGAUGAACAUAACUAAAUAUAUCAUAAAACAUCACAUGUAUACUGUGUGAACAUCACAAAAAGCACUAUAAAACAUCUCAUUUAUAUUACGCGGACAUCACAAAAAUAUAUCAUAGAACAUUACAUGUAUACACGUCAACAUAAAAAAUAUCUCAUAUAUAGCACAUGAAUAAAAAAAAUACAUAGAACAUUACCAUAUGAAUAUCACAAAAAACAACAUAAAAACAUCGUAAAAAAUAAAUAUGAAAAAAAUAAAAGUAAGUUAAAAAGUAUAAGAAUAUAUAAACAUAAAAUAAUAAUAAACACUUAAAACAUAAAAAUUUAAAAAAUGAUGAAAAAAAGGAAAAAGAAAAAAGAACACUUAAAACACAAAAAAUAGAUGCACAAAAAGGAAAAUGAAAAGAAAAUAUAAAAGAAAGAAAAAUAAAAAAUUAAAGAAAGAUAAUAAUAAGAAAAAUAGAAGUAAAAGGAAUAAAAAGAAAAGAAACAUAAAAAUUUAAAAUAUUAAAUAUACAUAAAACAUAGAAAUAAAAUUAAAAUAGAAAAUGAAGCACAAAAAGAAGAAAGAAAAGAAAAAAGAAAAGAAAAGAAAAAGAAGUGAAGAGAUAAUAAUAACUUACUUGCUUCCAUACUUCUGUACGUGUUGUAUUGUGCGGCUUCCUUCAGGAGCACGCGCCUCGUUUCCUGCAUGUAGAAACCGUGUGCUGUUCAACUGAUGCUUUUGUUGAGAUUAAUUAGGAUUGUUAAUUAAUGAUCAAUUAAUGUAAAUCUCAUAAUUAGCAUGUGCUAAUUACAGAACUAUAGGACCAACAGGCACCAUAUCCUUUGAGUCGCUGACAAAGGAAACUACCUCGUGUAUAUAUACAAGAUUUGUUCAUCAAUACAGGAUAUUCGUCAUUUGCAUGGUUAAUCAAUCCACUUUCACACAACACGUUAUCACGCACUUGGCUCUGCCAACGCCGACGCUAGUAGGCCAGAAAGAGGCGAGGAAAGGAAGUUUGCCGGGAAACUUGUUGGAACUUUGUCGGAGUCGCUGCUUACCACCAAAGGUAGAAGAUGUCAACCCCUGCCCUUUCCAUGAACUCGAUGGUCGGCACCAUCAAAGACGGUCUGACGCUGUUGAAGCCACCAUCAUCGGUGGCAGCGAGCACCCUAGAGGCAUUCGUCGUUUUAGCCUCCAAGGUGUUGUCCGUUGUGCCCUCCACGACAUUUUCACGACCACCGCACUCCCCUCCGUCGCCACAAUGGAGUGCGUCAUGGUCGUGGACGUCCAUUGUGGCCACGCCUGGUGCCUCGCUCAUCGGGGCUGCAGUUUGCCCCCGGCGUGUGCCCGUCGCACGGCUCUGCCAUGUUCAUCCGCCCCGUAACAUUGUCGAUGCCGCUGGUGUCACCGAGGCCGCCGAUGGAGUUCUUGCCGCCCCCACCACCACUGCCAUCGACCGGGCUCAAGGUGCCAUGGAACGAGGGUGGUGACUCUAUAUGGCUGGACAGUGUGGCACCCCCUUCUUGACCAACCGCAGCAACAACACAGGGGCAUGGCCUCCUGGCUUCGCCUAUGACCUUGACACCGUCCUCCCGUCGGUGCUUCGCACCACCUUUGAAUCGCGGCUGCUCCUACGCCGAUGUCGUAGCUGCCCGCCCCGUCUAGCGCCAGGGUGCCCUCCCGAACAGAGACGCCCUCGAAGUCGGGUUUGCCUCUUCCUCGAACGAGGGAGAGGCGGCUCCCCGCCUCUAAGCAGCCUCAUAUGGGUAGGUGGGGGUAGCCCUAUCAUUCUUGGCUCGCAGCAACGACCCUUGCGACCAGAGCUUGCCAGGGAUGGGUGGUGCCCACCCUGCUCGCUGUUGGGUAUUCUUAACAUCAUUACCAAAAGUAGACUUAGUUUUCUAAUUCUGUUAACGGUGCCAAAAAUGCCAAACCUAUCUCUCAUGCCACUUAAGCCAAGUUGUCAUCCCCAGCAUGACAUGAGAGACGCGGUAUUGAAAUAUGCAAUUGCUCAUCUAAAUAAAUAAUGAAUGGGAUCUGCAAGCGCACAGAUUAAUACCGAUGUAGCAUUUUAACCGGGAAGUAUUCCAGGUAUCGUUAUUUAUAUUUUUACCACUGGAAACGGAUUAGUAAUCAUCAAUGUUGAUUAUAGAAUGGAAUAUGAGUUUGAGUAUCUAUCAUUGCAUGUAUAAUUGAGAACAGUUAUCUAACUCUUUCAUAUAGGGAUAAGUGUCACAUAAAAGAUAUAUGAAGUAAUGAAUAGUGACAAAGAUAAUUAAUAUGAUCAGCAUAACUUAGCCACAUAAUAAAUAUGAUAAGCACCUCAAUUAGAUACUCUAGCAAGUCAUUAGCAUGGAAUUAGAACGAACUAUAAGAAUAUUUCCUAAGUUAUUUUUAAUUAUAUAGUCUAGCAUUAUCAUAGUUAGUGCAAUUAUACUUAGCAAUCAUUGUGAGACAAUGAUUACGCCCAUGCAUAGUGAUAUUAUCAAGGAAUAUGAGAAACAUAGCAAUCACUCCCCUGUAAUAAUAUUGCUCUGCCAGCCCAAUACACGAGAGGGAGACUAUAUAAGAAAUCAAUGAAGCUGUCACUAUCACGAACUACCCCACGAUCUGGCAUAUUGGGUACAAUCGCAGAUAAAUACGGUAUAAGCACCACGCCUACACAAUACCUAUCAUUUACCCAUGGAUCCGAUAGAUAAAAGCUAUAUGAUCCUAAACAUGUAUAUAAUUCCAAUCUAACUAAGCCAAGUAUAUAACUAUGAUAAACUAAGAACAAUAUAAUCUUGAAUAUAAACAAGUAGAAUAAAGUCAUAAGCAAUAUAUUAAAGUAGAACAAAGUCAUAUUCAUAAUAUUGAAGAACAAAGAUGAACAAUUAAAGAAUUACAAAGAAUCCUCUUGACAGAUCCGGAAACCAAUCGAAGAUUGACUCUUUCUAGUUCGAAUCCUAUGUAGCUAUGCUAAUCUAGAUGUCUAAUUGAUGUGGUGGCUCUAGGCUUGAUCAGAGGUUUCUUCUCCCUUGAUGAAUAAUGAAUUAGGGUUGAGAGCUCUCUCCCUCCAGGGGCCAGGGGGUCUGGUUUUAUAGUCCCUCCAAGUGAAUAUGGGCCGUCGGAUCAAACCGACAUUGAUUGAACGGUUAUCCUUGAUCCUUUAGGUCGGUGGAGCGUAAUCCCGAAAGAGUGUCCUGAUUGGACUCCAAGAGGGGGCGGGCGCCCUGGUCUCCUGGGCGGGCGCCCUGGGCCAGGCCCCGUUUCGCCUCCGCUUCGUUCCCGUGGCUUCUGGAGUCUUCUAGAUGUAAGAUAAUUGUACGUCACGUUAAUAUCUCUAUGUAAUCCCGACGUGUGGGCCUUUCUUCCGUAUUUCUUGAUAACCCCCUGCAGAAAUAGACAAACACCAAAACUCGUAGAAUUCUGUCAGAUAAAACCCUAAGUCUAGAUGUUGAUUUUAUUUGGAUCCUUUUCUUUAUUUAUUUGAUAAUUAAAUUUGAUACUUAAGGACCGUCAACAAACUCCCCCAAGCUUACCUCUUGCUCGUCCCUGAGCAAGGAUAAUCUCAGCGAUGGAUUAUAAGUUGUUGAAAUGCCUUUAAAAAUUGACGGUACACAUGCUUUUAAAUAAGAUCUCAUCUCUGAGUUAGAGUAAACUGUCAAGACUUAAAACUUACUUACUUUACCUUUCACCAUGGGACUUGUAACCGUCACUUCUGUCUUGAGUAGUUAAAAGAUAGAACGGUCUAGUCAAGUGCCAUGUUUCUUAUUCUUGAUCAGCUAUAGCUCUGGAGUUUUUGUAGAUUUUCAAAUAAAACUCAGAGAUUCCUUGUAUGAUUCUCUCAGAUCUCUCUUUUGUGGUAUUUCUAGAUCCUUACCAAGGCAGUGAUGGUAUAUGCCUUCUCUCAAAGUAUGUAGUAUUUGUGGUAUAAGGCAUAGUGACAUUGCCUUCUCUCUCACCCUACUCUAAUAAGGCUUUAAUAUCUGGAGCUCAUAGGUGGGAGAUAAAGUAUACAUACUUACAAAACAUUUAUUGCAUAGUGAAACCAUGGAUCCAAAGAAACAAAUCAUAAGUCAAAUCAAGAUGUGCAUGUGUGGCGAAUGAAUGGUGUAUGGUGAUGAUGGUGAUAACAAUGGUGAAAGUCUAAUUCUACUUUUGCUCUUUUGAGAGGAUACAUACCUUUCUUGCUCUUUUGAAACUUUUUGAGGAGAAUGAGAUGCUCUGUACUUUCUUUUUCUUUCCUCUGAGGUGGGUAUUUUGUACGCCUAAUUCUACUGUCGGACACUUGUCCAUUUUUACCUCUUGUCUCACUUUUUCUUUUUCUUUCGAGGUUCCGGGCACUUGUCCCUUUUUAUUUCCUCGUAUUUUAUUAUAUUUUUUUAGAGCACUCAUCUCAUGAAAUAAUAUAGCAAGUGGUAGUAACCAAGAUAACUUGAGCAUUUAUUUCACAGGGGAAAAAUAGAAAUAUUUUUGGUUAUUCCCUCCCGGAUUAGGAGUAGAAUAUUUUUGGGUGAUUCUAGAGAUGGAAAUGGGUGGAUAUAUGUGGAUGCGUACUUCCGGAGUAGAAAUAGCAUGUGUGAGUGAACGUGCAAGUGAAUCUUGAUUUAACCACAUGACAAGCUUGUAAGGGUCUACACAGCUUGACCACACUAAAUACUUAUAAGCAGUAAAUAGUAAAUGUGUGGCUCAAAGUCUAGCAAGCAUGUAUAUAUGGCUGUGGUAGGAAUUUAAACUCUCAUCAUACAGGAACUCAUCAUGCAAUAUUUUAAAGAUUUUAAAAGAUAAAAUUCUCCAGAAUUCUAGCAUCUCUAGGAACAGAUAAACAGCAACUCAACCUUCCCAUAUCAUAUCCGUUAACAACUUAGACUUCAGAUCAAGUUUUCUUUCCACAAGUUUAGGUUUAGAGCAAGCUUUAAAUUAUAACAGUUAUGUCUAAACUUGAGAGAGAACUCAAAUUUGAAAAUUAGGCAGAGCAACUAUUCAUCAUAUCCAUGCUAGAGUUUUAUUUAGAUUCAGUUUAGCAUAGCCACUUUAUUUAUUUAUUAAGCACACUAAGCAAAAGACAUAUAUUUAUAUAUAAGUACAAAAUCUUUAUUUGGUUUUUCAUAGUUAUGUAUAUUUAUAUAUUAAUAUAGUAUAAGUAUAAAGAUAGAUAGAUAAAAAUACUUAUCGGGAUAAAUGGGGGUGCUCUCCCCCAAGCUGAAUUUUGACGUAAUUUCUUCUGAUGUAGCUAGCAGGUGGCAGAGGUGUAUUUGAAAGUCGUCAGUAUCUUGACAGCGAUUAGAAUGUCCUCCGUCUACUAGUCUUCUUAAUCCUUGAAUUCUGUGGAGCUCAAAUAGACAACAAAGCUUGUGGACUUGAUUAGGUGUUAGCAUAAACAUCUAGCCUUUAUCAUGUUGAGCCUCCUCAAUAAAUAUUACUCCCUAUUUUUAUAUUUUUAUUUUAUAAUGAAGAAAAGAAAUAUUUAUUUUAUUUUUAUGCCACCACAGUUAAUGUACUUAUGGGUUUUAUAUCACUCGUAUACUCACAUGGGGCUUACUGUUUUUUAACAUUUUUAUUUUCUUUUUAGGAUAGUAUGAACAUGAUUAACUAAGCAAACUAUUUCAAAUAUUUGAAAAGAAAAAGAUAACUACCAAGUUUACCUCUUGGCAAGGCGUUCGGUGUUUUUAAGUCCUCCGAACGGGACUCUCCGUCUUCUCAGUUGUCCUGGGAUUCGUUGAGUGGCGCAGUCGUUGCUUCCAGUGGCGCCUCUUCUUCGUGUAUAGUUAUCUUCUCUCUCUACACCUGACUCGGUGCUACGGUCUCCUCAGGAUAAUCUUGUUCAAGCUGUAUGUCUUCAGAUCUUAUUACUUCUCCUUCAUAGUCUGUCGAUCCGUCCUUGAUGAUUUCCCUCCUCUGGUUGCGGUUGUAUAGUCUUCUUCUGACUUGCUUAGAGUCUUCAACGAUAUAGUUAGGGUCAAUAAAAUAGCGGCGUACCUUCUCUGAGGGGAAGUGCAUGUGGACUUCUCCAGUUCCAAUAUAGAUGAUUGCUUUAACGGUGCUGAGGAACGGUCUUCCAAGGAUGAUGGAUGGAUCGUAUUCGUCUUCUCCCAUGUCAAUAACCUGAAAGUCUGUGUAGACAAAAUGAUCGUCUAUUUUGACAGGAACAUCAGUUACUAUACCUUUAACCUCUCGAAAUGUCUGAUCUGCCAUCUGGAGUUGAAUGUAUGUUGGUUUUAGGGGCAUGGUUCCGAACAAGAGCCGAUAGGUGACUGCGGCCAUUAUGUUGACGCCCGAUCCGGUGUCGCAAAACAUCUUGUAGAAGCUGUAUCCAUUUAUGGAGCAGUAGAUGCUUGGCAUUCCUGGAUCGUCCUUCUUGGUUAGAAACGGUGACUUUAGUCGAUGAUCUUGACCUCCUUGAACUGCAGUGACCAUCUUAGCUGACCCGGUCCACACUUGCUUGUUCCUCUUCCUCCUGUUGGUCCUUUUCCUUGGUUCAUGUUGGGAUUGCUCUGGGAUUUGUGUAGUCUUGUUCUUGAAGGAAAAUGUCUGCUUUUCCCUUUGAUGUAGAAACUGAUCUUGGCAGCACUAGCGUAGAUGACAGCUCCCGAAGUGUUUAAGAAUGGCCUCCCUAAGAUGAUGGGUGCCCUCUCAUCAUUUUCGGUCUCUAUUACCAUGAAGUCUGCUGGGGCGUACAAGGUACCAACUCGGACACAUAGGUUCUUCAAUAUUCCCUUGGGGAAACUUAACGCCUGAUCUGCAAACUGCAAACACAUGGUUGUUUCUAAUAAAGGAUAUGUAAAGAAUUUUUCAUAGAGUACCCUGGGCAUAAUGUUGACACUAGAGCCAAAGUCACAGAGUGCUUCUAGGAAGUCCACCAUGUCGAUGGAGAUCGAGAUGACGGGGCGUCCUGGAUCGCCUUUCUUGACCGGCAGAAGGUCAGUAUUAACUUCAGUGACGGGGUUACUCCAAUAGUUACCUGCAUCAAACAUGUCUACAAGAUUUGCAGAUUCUAAUCCUUCCGGUUGUGAUGGUAUACCGGGGUUAGUAGCAGGAACAGCAGCAGCUAUUUGAUUUAACUGAGAUUCAAUCAUUUUAUUAAAGCUAAUUUGAUUCUUGAUGGCAGUAGAGAAAUUAUCCAUUCUAUUAUUUAUAUUUUCUAGCAUUUUAUCAUUAGAUGUCAAUUUCUUAGAUAGAUUAUCCAUUAGCUUUCCUUGAUUAGACACUAACUCUCUUAGAGGUGGAAAAUUAUUAUUAUUGUUAUAAGAAUUGUUACCUUGAUAAUUACCUGAGUAGUUAGGCCUCUGUUGAUUCCAACCUUGAUUUUGCUGAGGACGGUUAUAAUAGUAGUUGUUGUUGUUGAUGUAGUUUACAUCCUCAAGCAUCUCAGGGCAGUGAUUGCUUGAGUGUCCAGUAUCUCCACACUCCUCACAAGUCAUGUGAGAGUCGUAGAUGUGCAUAACUUCUUUCUUAUCUCCAGCUCUAUCAUCGAGCUUCUUCAUGAGCAGGUCUAGCUUUGCAGACAGCAUGUCUACCUCCUUGAGCUGAUGUAUACCUCCACCUCUCUUGCGUGUCUGGGUCCUCUCUUUAUUCCAGCUUUGAUUGGACGCCAUCUUCUCCACAAGAGCUGUGGCUUGUGAUAUGGUAAGUGAUAGGAAUGCUCCUCCAGCUGCAGCAUCCAUGGUUUCUCGGGCACUGUUGCCGAGCCCAUGAUAAAACGUCUGCAUCAGUAGCCAGCUCUCCAUUCCAUGAUGGGGACUUUCUAGGAUAUAGUCUUGGAAGCGCUCCCAUGCUUCUAGAACGGAUUCAUCAUGUUGUUGCUGAAAACUUGUAAUCUUCCCACGGAGAGCAUUGGUCUUGCCCAUGGAAAAGAACUUAGCCAGAAAGUUCGUGGAGCAGAGUACCCACGUAGUAUUCUUCUCCUUUGUUGCGUAAAACCACUGUUUCGCUCUCCCUAUCAGUGAGAAUGGGAAGAGACGAAGUAGUAUAGCAUCUCUGGGGACUCCUGAUAUGGUGAAUGUGCUGCAAAUCUCCAGGAAGUGUUGGAGAUUGAGCACUAGCAUCUUCGUGUGCCUUUCCAUAGAACUGGUUGGAUUGCACCAUGUUGAUAAGUCCAGGCUUGAGCUCAAAGUUGCCAUCGAUCUCUGUAGCAGGUCCAGUGCGGAUGUUGUCCGUAGUGGGAGCUGAGAACUCACGGAUCGAUUUGUUCGCCAUGGCUACGAAUUCUGAAGACAAGUUCCGGUGAUCUUCUUGACUGGAUGAAGCUUCUUGCUGAAGUGUUGAUGAUCUCUUCUUGAGCUUGGUUCUAGUUUUUCUGAAUAAUGCUUCGGGAUUGUCAACAAAGUUUCCUGGAAGAUGUCUUCUAUUCAUACAUCGCCCUACAUAAGAUAAAAUAGAAAAAUAUCGGGGUAAAACUGUAUGAAAGAAUUGAUAAGCUCAAUCAUAUUAGUGAUGCGAAUGAUGACUCAAAAUUCUAUAUCCAUUCCUGAUUAGUAAUCAACCUUCCCCGGCAACGGCGCCAAAAAUGCUUGUUGGGUAUUCUUAACAUCAUUACCAAAAGUAGACUUAGUUUUCUAAUUCUCAUAACGGUGCCAAAAAUGCUAAACCUAUCUCUCAUACCACUUAAGCCAAGUUGUCAUCCCCAGCAUGACAUGAGAGACGCGGUAUUGAAAUAUGCAAUUGCUCAUCUAAAUAAAUAAUGAAUGGGAUCUGCAAGCGCACAGAUUAAUACCGAUGUAGCAUUUUAACCGGGAAGUAUUCCAGGUAUCGUUAUUUAUAUUUUUACCACUGGGAAGGGAUUAGUAAUCAUCAAUGUUGAUUAUAGAAUGGAAUAUGAGAUUGAGUAUCUAUCAUUGCAUGUAUAAUUGAGAACAGUUAUCUAACUCUUUCAUAUAGGGAUAAGUGUCACAUAAAAGAUAUAUGAAGUAAUGAAUAGUGACAAAGAUAAUUAAUAUGAUCAGCAUAACUUAGCCACAUAAUAAAUAUGAUAAGCACCUCAAUUAGAUACUCUAGCAAGUCAUUAGAAUGGAAUUAGAACGAACUACAAGAAUAUUUCCUAAGUUAUUCUUAAUUAUACAGUCUAGCAUUAUCAUAGUUAGUGCAAUUAUACUUAGCAAUCAUUGUGAGACAAUGAUUACGCCCAUGCAUAGUGAUAUUAUCAAGGAAUAUAAGAAACAUAGCAAUCACUUCCCUGUAAUAAUGUUGCUCUGCCAGCCCAAUACACGAGAGGGGGACUAUAUAAGAAUCAAUGAAGCUGUCACUAUCACGAACUACCCCACGAUCUGGUAUAUUGGGUACAAUCGUAGAUAAAUACGGUAUAAGCAAGUAGAGCAAAGUCAUAAGCAAUAUAUUGAAGUAGAACAAAGUCAUAUUCAUAAUAUUGAAGAACAAAGAUGAACAAUUAGAAGAACAAUUAGAGAAUUACCAAGAAUCCUCUUGACAGAUCCGGAAACCAAUCGAAGAUUGACUCCUUCUAGUUCUAAUCCUAUGUAGCUAUGCUAAUCUAGAUAUCUAAUUGAUGUGGUGGCUCUAGGCUUGAUCAGAGACUUCUUCUCCCUUGAUAAAUAAUGAAUUAGGGUUGAGAGCUCUCUCCCUCUAGGAGCCAGGGGAGCUCUCAACCCUCUAGGGGCCAGGGGGUCUGGUUUUAUAGUCCCUCCAAGUGAAUAUGGGCCGUCAGAUCAAACCGACAUUGAUUGAACGGUUAUCCUUGAUCCUUUAGGUCGGUGGAGCGUAAUCCCAAAAGAGUGUCCUGAUUGGACUCCAAGAGGGGACAGGCGCCCUGGUCUCCUGGGCGGGCGCCUUGGGCCAGGCUCCGUUUCUCCUCCGCUUCGUUCCCGUGGCUUCUGGAGUCUUCUAGAUGUAAGAUAAUUACGCGGCACGUUAAUAUCUCUAUAUAAUCCUGACGUGUGGGCCUUUCUUCCGUAUUUCCUGAUAACCCCCUGUAGAAAUAGACAAACACCAAAACUCGUGGAAUUCUGUCAGAUAAAACCCUAAGUCUAGAUGUUGAUUUCAUUUGGAUCCUUUUCUUUAUUUAUUUGAUAAUUAACUUUGAUACUUAAGGACCGUCAACACUCGCUGGCCUCUAUGGAUAGAGAAACAGUCACGACCCUGAUCCACCAUGAGAGGAAGAUGGGGAGGAGGGCAAUGCACACGACUCUGACCAUCACCUUCGGGGGCUCGACGACGGCGGCACGAGCAAGGCGGCGGCGGCUAAUGCGGUUUCUAACCCUAACUGCCAUGCUUAUAUAGACCGCGACGGUGCUAGACCUGGCCGCUUGGCUGGGCCGUGUGCCUAGCCAGCUCGAUGGGCCGUGGGCCUAGCCAACUGGCUAGGCCGCGUGCCGGGCUGGCUGGCUUGGUCGCACGCCUGACCUGUCGAGCUGUUUGCUCAACUGAGCCUCUUUUUUCUUUUUUGUUUUCCCUAGAAUUUAACUACUUAGUUAUUUUUCCUAUCAACAGUAGUAUAGAUUGAUUAGCAUAUGAUUUGCUAGUUUAAUUUCUACAAGAACAUUAGUUAUUUGUCUUGAUUAUUGUUGCUCUGUACUGCUAGAUCCUGACAUUGUAAAUAUAAUUGUGGUUUGUUUAUAUUAUUAUUAUUAUUAUUAUUAUUAUUAUUAUUAUUAUUAUUAUUAUUAUUAUUAUUAUUAUUAUUAUUAUUAUUAUUAUUAUUAUUAUUAUUAUUAUUAUUAUUAUUAUUAUUAUUAUUAUUAUUAUUAUUAUUAUUAUUAUUAUUAUUAUUAUUAUUAUUAUUAUUAUUAUUAUUAUUAUUAUUAUUAUGCAACAUUGUAUUUCUAUCAUAUUUUUGGAGUAUGUGGUGCACCAAAACAUCCUUUGCACCACAUACAUAUUACAUUUGUGACUUGAUAAUUUUGUUUUGGGCUAUGUUGAUACACCCCCCCCCCUAUUUUGUAUCAACAUAUUAGUUACAUUUAUAAUUUUAUGAUAGAAUUGGGCAUGUUGGUGCCCCAAACUACAACUUUUGCACCACAUACAAGUUAAAUUUGCUAGUAGACUUAGUUGCAAUUUAAAUAUACCAUCUAUAGAAUUAGAAACUUUUAAUUACUAUAGAUUUAAAGUUGCAAUAUACAUAUCUUACUUAUUUUGGUUAAAUAACACAAGGUAAUGGAGUCUAUGGCAUUGGUGCGCUUAAUUCCUUGUGAAUUAAUCAAAUCACCCAUUACUGAGAGGUUUACAUCACGCGAUUCAAGAUAAAUUUAUGAGGAAGUCUUAUCUCUUUAGGAUCAACCCCAGUAUCGAGAAAUGUUUCUAUGAAACUUGAUGAUUACCCACACCGUGGUUUUACCCAAAAUAAAGGUUUUAGAUUGCACAAGAUAGUAGAGUCCUCAAAGGCUGCAUUUAAUUCACUUGUGAAUUAUCUUGCCUAGUGACCGUGCUUAGACAACAAUAUAUUUGCCUACUAUUAAGAUCUUCUCUUUGUCUUAUGAGUUAGAGACUAUCUGUCUUGUGUUUAUCAAAAUUUAUGAUAAUUUGGUUGUAUGGUCUACAUAAUUUUGUAAAAUACUGCAAAUAAUUUGCCAGCAUUAGGGGGAUAAUUGUACCAAAAAGAAUACGAGAAAAUAGAUCGGAAUGCAGCAGACAUUUCAUUCUUUGAUCCACGUACUACAUAAACUAAACUACAAGUCUAAAGAAUUAUCGAUUUGCAAAAUACUGCAAAUAAUCUGCCAGACUUUUUUUGAUUAUAAAGGUGUCACAAAGUCUCUCCAUCCUGCAAGGAAUGUGCCUGAAUGAGUGGAGGUACCUUAUAAAACCACUUAACCCCCUAUUGGCAAAAGGAGGGGGAGGAACAGUUCCAAGAGGCAAGAUGUGAUUGUUGGCAAGCAAAAGAAGACUACAAAUGCAACUCAAGCUUUGGUUGAAAGACACCUACAUUGUCCUAUGGAUAGAAGUAUUCCAUAAUCUAGCUCAGUUAUGUGCAUAAACACCAAGGCUGGAACAUCGAAAGAUCCUCCAUCGUUUUAGGAAGUCAUGAUGAAUCUUUAACUGUAGAUGGAAUUUCUAUAAAUUUUGCUGAGACUGGAGAGUCUUAUAGUCAUAAGUCCAUAAUAGUCAACAUUUAUUUCUCUGAACAAAUUGCAAAUAUCCUUCAGACCGAUUCAGAUCCUAAGUCUACGACAAAGUGCAAAAAGCGCUCGGACUGGGAUAAGUGGAAGGAAGCUAUUGAAACAGAGAUUGCCUCGCUUAAUAAAAGAAAGGUAUUUUUGGCCAUAAUUCCAAUACCUCCUAGUAUCUUUCAUUUGGGAUACAGAUAGGUUUUUGUCUGUAAAAGGAAUGAAAACAAAGAAUUGGUGAGAUAUAAAGCAAGGCUAGUGGCAUAAGGUUUUACGCAAAGACCUGGCGUUGAUUUCAAUGAAACUUACCCUUCGGUAAUGAGCAGAAUAACUUUAUGAUACUUGAUAUCACUGACAAUACAAAAUUGUCUAUCUAUGCAGUUAAUGGACAUAGUGACCGCAUACUUGUAUGGGUCAUUAGAUUCUGAGAUAUACAUGAAAGUUUCUGAUAGAAUCAGUAUACCAAAUCCUAAGGCUCAUAACAUGUAUUGCAUCAAGUUGCAGAAGUCAUUAUAUGGCUUAAAGUAGUCAAGCCGAAUAUGGUACAAUCGAUUAAGUAAAUUUCUUACACAAAAGGGAUAUAUAAAUAUUGGUGACUGCCCGUGUGUCUUCAUUAAGAAAUCAUCAACAAGAUUUUGUAUAAUAUUAGUAUACGCUGAUGAUCUUAAUAUCAUCGGCAAUGAAUCUGUUAUUAAUGAAGCAUGUCAUCAUUAAAAGAUAGAGUUUGAAAUGAAGGAUUUGGGUCAAACCAAAUUUUGCUUGGGUUUACAAAUUGAGCACUUUCAUUUUGGUAUAUUCAUAUACCAAGCUGCCUAUGUCCAAAAUGUAUUGGAGAAAUUCAAUAUGGACAAGUCAUAUCCAACAAAAACCCCAAUAGUAGUGAGAUCUAUAGAUAUUAAAAAAGAUCCUUUUAGACCACGGGAAGAAGAAGAAAUAUUGGGACCACAAGUUCCAUAUCUUAGUGUCGUUAGAGCACUAAUGUAUCUUGCUAAUAGCACUUGACCGGAUAUUGUAUUUGUAGUAAAUUUGCUAGCAAGACAUAGUGCUAAACCUACUAAACGUCAUUGGAUAGGAGUCAAAACUGUUUUGAGAUAUCUCAAUGGCACUAGAGAUCUUGGACUAUUCUAUAGCAAAAAUCAAGAUCUAAUUUUGUUAGGAUAUAUAAAUGUUGGUUAUCUAUUUGAUUCCCAUAAUGGCAGAUCAUAGACAGACUUUGUUUUCUUGCAAGGUGGAACAACAAUAUCUUGGAAGUUUUCAAAGAAGACUUUAGUGUCCACUUCCACCAAUCAUUCUGAAAUAAUUGCUUUACACGAAGCAUCACGCGAAUACGUAUAGCUUCGCAGAAUGGUAAACCACAUAAUACAAUCAUGUGGUAUUGGAGACUUGAGACACCUACAAUUAUCUUUGGGGAUAAUUCAGCAUGUGUUACUCAAAUGGAAUCAUGUUAUAUUAAGAGUAAUAUGACUAAGCAUAUUAUUCCAAAAUUAUUCUACCCCUGUGAGCUCCAAAAGAACGGAGAAAUUGAAAUCUUGCAAACUAAGUCUUGUGAUAAUCUAGCAGAUUUAUUCACAAAAUCCCUACCAUACUCCGCAUUUUGUAAAUGUGUUGAGGGCAUUGGUAUGAGAAGGCUUAAAAUUUUGCAAGAAUCAAGGGGAGAAUCUAUUAAAUAGAACCUGUUUUCACUAUACAUUAUACUAUUUUCCUUUAUAUGAGUUUUACUCUUCUAGAGUUUUCUCACAUAAAGUUUUUAAUGAGGUAAUAGUAACACAUAGUAAAUGUCAUAUUAUCUAUUUUUCCUCAUAGUGGUCUUUCGAAAGUAAUAUAUGACAUAUAGAUCUUUGAUCAAAGUUGUUUUAGACUAUGUCUUUGGGAAUACCCAGAGGGUCUAAUAACAUUGGGACUAAUAUAUAUCAUGGUGUUUCUCUUUAUUUUUCCCACUGGGUUUUAAGGAGUUUUGUUUGGUAUAUCGAUAUACUUUGGAUUUUUCCCAUAGGGUUUUUCCAAAGCUUCAAGACAUUUACUGAUAAACAAGAUGCUUACACAAGAUCAUCAAGGGGGAGUGUUGAGAUUAAUUAGGAUUGUUAAUUAGUGAUCAAUUAUGGUAAAUCUCAUAAUUAGCAUGUGCUAAUUACAUAACUAGAAUAGGUAACCGUAGAGGCCCUUUGGGCACCAACAGGGUCACUGACAAAGAAAACUGUCUCUUGUAUAUAUACAAAAAUUGUUCAUCAAUACAAGAUAUCCGUCAUUUGCACGGUUAAUCAAUCCACUUUCACACAACAGUUUUCACUCCGGCGGUUCGGACCAGUAGAAUUCCACAGGACCUGGCUUGUUGGAGUGAUCGGUAUUAGUUAAUAAAGGAAAAAUAUAUACGGCCCACUGAGAGCAUAUAAAAAACAUAAUUGUUUGAGAACUAUCAGAUUGCCGUCUUUUGGAUUUUGGACUUGUGCUCCGUCCUAAGCGGCGCGAGCGGCAACAAUCGGAUUGCCACUGCCAAGAAUUAUUACGCAUAUAGAAACGUGGUUUCUAAAUAUCUUCCAAGAGAUUAUUGUUUAUGUUAUCUUCCACUUUUUUUAUGGUCCAGAUGUUGUUUAGAUUCGUGCUGUGUGCUCACCUUUUAAGUUUUGUGGUUGUCGUUUGUGACUCCAUUAUCCCGCUACUUUUUAUAUUAAAAAAAAGUUAUCCUACCGUUUCAUUUCAAUUUCGUGUUUUCUGGUGUUGUCGACGGUGUCCGUAGCCUUGUCGCCGGCGGUGACGGCGGUGCUUGUGGCCUUGCCCCAACGGUUACGGCUGUGACGGCGAUGGCGGCCGCGUUGUCGAUGGUGGACGCAGCGUUGUCUUCGGUGGCGGCAGAUUUGUCUAAGGAUGCAGCAGCAGCAACGGCGAUGUUGUUCGAGGCGGCGGUUGCGGAUUUGUCGGAGGAGGAGGCGGUGACCACAGUGUUGCUCGAGGCGGCAGCAGCUACGUACCCUGCAGUGCCACUCUGUUCUCCUAUAUUUUGAUUUGAUUUGUAUUGCAGUUGUGUCGGUAGCGGCGUUAGUUGCGGGCUUGGCCGGGGCAAACUCACCGGCAAGGAGCUCCACAACCUCCGUCCCUCCAAUGUUGAUCCCUGAUUUGGAUGUAGCGCUUGUCAGGAAGCCUUGCCCCUGCUCCUCCAAUUUGUGCCCUAUUUUGGCAUUACACAUCUGUGUAUUUUUUCAGUCAAAUGUGGGAUUGGUUUAUUUGUUAAUGUGUUUUUUGUCCAUUGCUUGCUAUUUAUAAUGAUUAGUCUUGUUUUGCUUCUGGAAUGUGUACGUAUUACCAAGCUUUGUUGCUGAUCACUACGGUUUGUGUGUAUGUGUGUGGAGGUUUGGAGGAGGCACAGGUUUGCCAGUUCACCAUAGUUUGCUUGAAGUUUGCUUGAGUCUGCUUUUAUUUUUCUUGAUUUUGUGUGUCAAUAGUUAAAGAUGGUAGGUUGUGCGUACAAAGCAUCUGCUCUACUGAUCCAUUCCAAGGAUCUUGUAAUUUGGUUUUACUUAGUGAGGUUGCUAUGACUGUGAGAGGAUGGUUAAAUAAAUAAAUUAAAGAGGAGACUAUUAGUCAUCCACGUUAGCAGCAUGAGCGGAUGAAUUUUGUUCAGGUUCAUAUUCUGUUCAGUUUAUAAUUUAAGUAUUAUGUAUUUCAGUUUCCUCCAUGCUAUCUACCCAAUUUCAGUCUUCAAUUGCAGUUAGCAAUUCAGUGUUUGAUUUCAUUUAUGUUUUCAUUUUCUAAUAAGUUUCACUAUAGGUUCGGGUUCAAUCUAAUUUAAUUACAGUUUUUAGUUUUAGUCAUGUUCAGGUUAUAGGUUUGGGUUCAAUCUUAUUUAAUUUCAGUUUCCAGUUUCAAUUAAUUUCAUACUUCAAUUGCAGAUAGCAAUUUAAGUUUUUUAUUUCAUUUUGUGUUUUCAUUGUCUAAUAAGUUUCAUUAUAGGUUUAGGUUCUUUCUAAUUUAGUUGCAGUUUUUAGUCUUAGUCAUCUUCAGGUCAUAGGUUCAGGCUGUCUUAUUUAAUUUCAGUAUUCAAUUUGGGAUUGUUGUGAGAUUGGUGGAGAAGUAGAGUGUGCUUGAUUCUUAUUUCUCUUUCCUUGGCUUCGAGCCCCAAAAGUCUUAGAUCAAAUUUGAGCUCCUUUUACAAUUUUCUUCUGGUUUAUCAUCACGUUUGAAUAGUCACUUGUUAAUUUGUACUCCUACAUCUUCAACUUUGAGAGCUCGGAUGACUCGAGGCAAUGGCGGAGCUCGAGUCAAAAUUAAGGGAGGUUAUACUGUAGCUUUGUUUGUUCACUCUCUACCUGCUGCAGCUAUAUUGUCAGUAGCACUGCUGCACUGAUUUGUAGAGGUGGCGAAUAGCAUGACACUAAGCUGUUGAGCUGUGCACUAAUAAAUCGUUAGUAGGUGUUGUCCAUUAGCUGAAUUGCUUACAGCAACAGCUUUGCACUAACACGUUCUACAUCUAGUGUCCUCAUAAAUUUGCACAGACCAAGGGGGGCCACUGCCCAGGUUAGCCUACACUCAGCGCCGCCAGUGACUCGGAGACAUUUAUGUUUUGUAGGAUAGGAUUUUAGAUGUUUUUCAUUUGUGUUUUUAGAUGUGGGCUUUCUGAAUCAGGAACUACGAUGCUUUGUGUCACAGCGAACCAACUAGUACUUGAUGUCCGUGUUACCCUUGACCUGUCAGGUUAAGUGUCAACUUGUCCUUUCAUGCAGUAGAUACCACUAAGGAGCACCAAGAUAUUCAUCUUUCACCUUUGGAUGAAACAUACUAUAGAAGCUGAUGAAUAGCAUCCUGGUUCAUAUCAUGUUCGUUCCCUUUCGAAGAAUAUCCAUCCAGUGAUUGUGUUUAUUGUACUCUGAUUUUAUUUAAAAUUGUUUUACAAGUUAUGAGAAAUAUUAUGAAUAUUAUGUAGGGAAGGAGAAAGCAAGAAAGUCCAACUACGCUGACCUUUCAAAGAGAUCUUUUGUUUCUUUUUUAUAAAUUUGAUGCCCCUUAUCCUUUUUGUACCGUAGCUUUUCAGAUAAACUGCAGAUGCUACAGCUAAAGAUUUGCUAGCUUGCAAUUGUGCUCUACCAGGAUAGAUGUUAUUCUAAAAAUAAUUGAAGUAUUGGCAGAACACAUCACUCUAAUAGAAUUUCUCUUUCUACAUAAAGAGAGAACUCCCAUGCAGAAAAAAAUAUAUUGUUGGCCUUCGAUAUUUCAGAAUGAAUAAGUUUUUUAGUGCCUACUCUUCCAUGGUACUUGAACUAUGCUGAUUGAAUGGAGAAUCCUUACUCGAAAGCAUAAGAUCAUGAGCAUUUUCUUAUACUGCAGCUUGGCUUGAAACAAGGAAUGAAGGCCAGUUCUCCAUCAAAUACUUGAGCUGAGAUUUGGCCACGUCACUUUUCAGGAAGUUGAAGAUAACUACCCUAAAAAUCUUCCAGACACGUGACGUACAGGUGCUUUUUUUGUUUCUGUGUUCUAUUGUACAAAAUGAUGUGGCAACAUAUGAUUUGUUGAAAAAGUGAAAGAAAACAAAUUGAAAAAUCUUCUAGAAGAUGUGUAGUCAGUCCCAAAAACUAUAAAAAAAGUGAUGGAAUUUGAAAAUGUUUCUUACUAUAAAUCAUUAUAUAAAUUUUACGUCUAACAAAUCUGGUUGGUUACUAUUUGUUCAUCUUACAUGUGGAUCUAUAUCUUUAUACGUGGAGAAACAUCGAUGUUUUGCAAAGAGCCGUAUGCCUCUGACCAAAUUUUUUCACCGUGUUUCUUACCCCAAACAAAACAAACUCUGACUACCCAACAUUUUUUUCUCACCAAAGGUUUUACUGACCUGCCCAUAUAGAUUUUUUUUGCAAAACCUCCCCAAAGAUGGCCAUGCAGCUCGCACUCCCAUAGUCUAGCCGGCAGCAUGAAUUUUUUUUCUCCCCAUACACGUCGGAUAACUUGGACACGGCCCGCUAAAAUACACCAGGCCCAACAAGACCCGCUAUUCAGUCAAAGAUUAUACAUACUUUGGGCUCUCUCGCUUCCUCAUAUUAUGAGGGUCCCGAUUUUUUUGUUUUAGGUAUUAUAGCAUUUUCGUUUUUAUUUGGCAAAUCUAUACCUAUCUAUAAAAAGGGAAAAUUUCAGUAUGCCAAUAUUUUUUCUGCCUGCCCUCUCCAUCUUCCGUUGCCCGGAAACCUCCGUCCGUGCCCUGUCCGUCUUCCGUUGCUAGGAAACCUCCAUCCGUUUAACGCUUGGUAAGAGAGGAAAGGAAAAUAGAAUGUUUUCUAGGGUUCCCAAUGCAAAAUCUUUUAUUACUGUCGUCGCCGGUCCCCAGAAGAAUCGCUAGGCGCCGCCGUCCGCUUGUAGAAAAUAAAAAAAAUAUUUUUUUUUCAAGGUUCCCAAUACAAAAUAUUCAAUAUCCUAUUAGUUUAAUUCGGCUGAAAAUUAAUAAAUACGUAAUAAUUUAUAAAAAAUGUAAAAAUUACAAAACAAAUUUUGUUCAGCUCCACAUAUGUAGAUCCAUGUAGUAAAUAAAAAAUAGAUGCAAAAUGUCUGUCCUAUUAAUUUGUUUUUCUUUUAUUCUUUAAUUCGGUUGAAAAUUGGUAAAUGCGUAAAAAUUCAUAGAAAUAUCUAAAAAUUACAAAACAAAUUUUGUUCACCUCCACAUAUGUAGAUCCAUAUAGUAAACAAAAAAUAUCACAAAUUUCAGUAUAUUUUUUGUUGGGGAUGCUUGCCUGUGCUUUUUAGUGUAAAAUUGAAAUUAUAGUUAUCUUGCUCCAAUUAUUAUAAAAAUUUUAUGGUAGCCUAUUUAAUGUGAUGCUUGAUUUGUGGUAAAAGUUUUAGCACAAUUCCUACAUAUCUCACUUAUUUACUAAUUUACCUAAAUUUAUGCUUGCUAAAUAGUUUACAAUCAAUUUAAGUAUGUAAAAAUAUAAAAAAGAUGUUUCCACUACCUUUGCACGAUGUGUUGUUACGUCAUAUGAACACUUCAUAAGCCUAUGUGUUCAUAAUAUACAUACAUUUAACUGAUAUAUCGUAUUUUAUAGGAAUCAUAAUCUAAAUAAAAAACUAAAGCUAGCAACAAACUUCUCAUGAUUUAUAUAAUACUGAAGUAUAUUAAGAGAUAAUACUAGAGUAGGAUAAGAUUUGCCUAAUUUCUAUAAUUAUUAUUAAAUAAAUAUGUCUCCAAGUUAUAUAUUAUUGUAAAUAUUAACUAUCUAAUACCAUAGAUGUCAUGGUUAUCAAUAAAAUAAAUUAUGGAAUUUAAAUUUUAUAAAAAGAAUAAAUAUAAAUAGAUAUGUAACAUUAUGUCAUCACUUUCUAUAGCUAUUUGAUGUUUCUCUCCCGUUGCAACGCACGGGCAUAUUUGCUAGUAUUAUUUAAUCAUGGACUAGUUCAAAAGAUUCAUCUCUCGAUUUACGCUAAAACUGUGCAAUUAGUUUUUAUUUUCGUAUAUAUUUAUGCUCCAUGUAUGUAUUAAAAAAUUUGAUUUGAUAGAGAAUCUUGAAAAAGUUUUUGGUUUUUGGAUGAACUAAACAAGGCCUUACAUAGAUUUACAUAGAUAGGAGAUCUCUUUUUUGAGAAAAGAUAUAUAGAAGAAGAUUUUUCUAGGGUUUUCGGCCCACCAAAUGUUCCAUGGCCCAUUACAGACUCAAAAGUAUUUCCUUUCCUCCGACCGUCCGACGCCAUUAUUACAAGGACAAGCCAGGAAGCCUGAUGAUGCCAUGAUUGGGACUAGAAUCAGUGUUUGGCUUUUCGCUACCUUCCAAAAGACUCGCUAGAAUUGAGGAGGCCCUGUACCAUGAUGCUCCACUCCAGCUCAGCUAUGCGCCAAGCAGGCCGGCACCCGGCAGUGGAGGUCCCGCGCUCGCUCAGCUCCAUUGUAGGCAUGCAUACCAUGGCAUCUUCAGCGAUAGACAGCGGCCGCAUGGCAAGGCGAUGCAGGCUCUGCAGCUGCACUACUGCUGCGUGCAGGGCUGCAGGCCCACAGGCCACAGGUCAACUGCAGAAGAUGGCGGGCGAUGGAUGGGUUGGCCUUGAGGCAGACUCACGCAGUCACAGAGUCAGGUGCUCGAGGGCCAACAAAUUAGAGAUAGUUCCCGAUUUUUUUUUUUUUUUUGGAUUUGACUAUGGUAGAUUUUCGUUUUAUUUUAUAAUUAGCGUUCAGUCAUAAAUUAAUUAGACUUAAAAAAUUCGCCUCGUAAUUACAAACUGUAUAAUUAGUUAUUUUUAAUUUAUAUUUAAUGCUUCGUCCAAAUAUUCGAUGUGAUGGAUAAAAAGAAAAUUUUUGGAAACUAAACAGUGAUCAAAUCAUAGUGUGCGGUAAAAUGUUGUAUCUGCAUGCAGUGGAACCGUGGAAGUCAAAAGACUGAAAGAAAACAUUCAUAAUUCAUGCAUGGAGCUGGCUUCGUAAAAACACACAUCUCUGUUAUGUUUUUAGAAUUCUCACACCUGUAUUUGUAUUGUCAAGCGGAUGAACGCCUCCAAUUUGGAUCUCAUCUCAUGCCAACGCUCGGAUGAUUUGGAUCUCAUCUCAUGCCAACGCUCGGAUGAUAGCUUUGUCGUGAUGACAACUAGAGACAAACUCCCUACAUUGUUGGAUUUAUUAUGGGUUAGACUCAUUUAUAUAUUGAAUAAUUCAAUAAACUCUGUGGUAUGUAAACCGUUUCAUACGGUGCGAGUUUUUGACUGAAUGAUUGAGGUAUGUGUCACGCACCGUGGUCGUGAUGUGGCGAAUGGAGGGACUUUUCAUUUUGUUAAUCAUGGUGAUUGAAUAUUGGGGUUACUUCUCACGGUGAUUGAAUAUGGGAGUUACUUCUCAUGGUGAUUGAAUAUGGGAGUUACUUCCAUUAUUCUAAUUGAUUAAAUGAAUUGUCAUUAUGUCCACUAAGGGAGUGGCGUGAGCAUCAUGGGCUCUUGGCUUUCUUGCAUGCGUGUGAGGCUUUUGGCCUCCAAGCCAUGAGGCUCCUUGCCUUUUGGCUUGCCCACCUCUUGCCUACAUAUAGCACAUACUACUACGUCAGUCAAGGGUGAAGAACAUAAUCCAGAGACACAAUUCCGCAGCAACGUAGACUUCUCUAUCUCCUCGAUCCGCGCGCACGGAGAAGGGAGAGGGCAGGUGCUUCCGAAGCCCUUGUCGUUCGUGAUCCUUGCACGGGGAGGACGACAAUUAGGUUUUUGGGGAGCGUCUACGCGACUGCCCAAUCCACCGCCGUUGUUCGUCUUCCUCAAGCUGGUUCGGACGGAUUUCUUCUUUCCGGUGGAAAGAUCGUCUUCAUCCUCUACAUCAUGGAAGUUGGUCAAGGAUCGGGAUCAUCGGAGCGCAUGGGAGGGUAUGAUCCAUUCAUCUUCCUGUUGUGUUUCGUCUUCCUGUUCAUACAUGUUGCAGUAGUGUGUUUGUUUUGUUGCGCUUACUAUCCUGGUUAUGUUUCAUAUGUUCUACCAUGUAUUUUCUGUUUUUAUUUUAUAUAUGUUUCUGGUAUAAGUUAUAUGUCAUGUUUGCUUGUUUCGCUGGUUAAGUUAAAACGUUUCAUAUGUUGUUGUCUCUAUGUUUCACUAGUGGUUCAGUCACGUCGUUUGAUAUACUGCUUCUCAUAUGUUUCAGUAGUUCUAUUUCAUCGUUUAACAUGCAGUCUCUUGUUUAUUGCUAUUUUAAGAUAUAUGUCUUGCCUUGUUAUUAUAUUUCAUAUAUUAUGCUUUUAUAUUUUUAAUAAUCACAUGUUCUACAUGUUCAUGGAUCACAUGUUCUAUAUUCCUAUGAACAUGUUUAAUAUCAUGAUUUCUAUAAUUAAUUAUAUUAUAUAUGUCAUCAUCAUAAUGUUGAUUUAUGGAAUUAAAAUGAUAUGGAAAUUGCCUAAAUAUCUAACAUUCCAAAAACCUAAUUAUAAUAGGCAUUUUUCUGUUAGAGUUUUUGCUGCUGCUAUGAAGCCUGAUUCUUUUGAUGGGAAAAACUUCUUGUUUUGGAAAGCUAAAAUGGAACUAUGGCUAACUGCAAUGUCAUGUUAUCAUGCUGCUGAGGGCAAACCUGCUAACUUACCUCCUGCGGAUGAGGCAAAGUUUAAGGUUGAUGACAACCUCUUUCGAGGUGCAGUAAUUAGCGCACUUGAUCCUAAGUUCUAGAAAAGCUAUAUUAUCCAUCCUACAGGGAAAGAGCUGUGGGAUGCAUUUGUGGGAAAGUUUGGAGUUACUGAUGCUGGUAGAGAGUUGUAUCUCAUGGAGCAGCUGUUUGACUACAAGAUGGUUGAGAACCGAUCUGUAGUGGAACAGGCUCAUGAGAUUCAGGCACUAGCUAAGGAAAUUGAACUGUUCUCUUGUCUUUUGCCCGACAAGUUUGUGGCUGGCGGUAUUAUCGCCAAGUUGCCACCUUCUUGGAAGGACUUUGACACCUCUCUCAAACACAAGAGGCAAGAGUUCAAUGUUGAGGAACUCAUUGGCACUCUAGAUGUUGAGGAGAGAGCUAGAGCAAAGGACAAUGGGAAAGGUGUUGAGACCUCAUCUGCCAAUGUGGUGCAGAAGAAAUCUUACAAGUGGAACAAGAAGAAGAUCUAGAAAAAGAAGGAGAACACUCCUAAACCCGUUCAAACCACACAGUUCAAGAAACAAAACAACAACAACAGGAAGAAAGGUGGCUGCUUUGUGUGUGGCAGUGAGGAUCAUUGGGCAAGUGAGUGCCCUGAUCCUAAGUUCAAACAGGAGAAGAAAGUUGUAAACAUGGUUACUACUGAAACUGGAGAUGGAACAUCUGGGUAUGGUAAUUCUUUACCUUUUGUUCUUUCAGUUUGUAAUUCACCUGAGUGGUGGAUGGACAGUGAUGCAAAUAUCCAUGUAUGUGCUGAUGUCUCUUUGUUUGCCACUUAUUAGGUCGGGAGGUCUGGCGCCUUGUUGAUGGGAAAUGGGUCGCGUGCUCAUGUUCUUGGUGUUGGUAUGGUCAUUCUGAAGUUUACUUUGGGAAAGACGGUGCCAUUGAAGAACGUACAACAUGUUCCCUCCAUCAAGAAAAAUCUUGUUAGUGCAUCUAUGCUAUGCCGAGAUGGCUAUAGAGUUGUUCUUGAAUCAAAUAAAUGUGUUGUGUCGAGAUAUGGUUCGUUUGUGGGUAAAGGAUAUGAUUGCGGAGGUUUGUUCCGCUUAUCGUUGCAUGAUGUUUGUAAUAAACUUGUGAAUUCUGUUGAUAUUUCUGAUGAGUCGGAUUUAUGGCAUUCACGGUUUUGUCAUGCAAGUUAUGGCUGUCUUAUGCGCUUAGCAAAUCUAAAUUUAAUUCCUAAAUUUAACUUGGUCAAAAAGUCUAAGUGCCAUGUAUGUGUUGAAUCAAAACAACCCCGCAAGCCUCACAAGGCUGCUGAGGCGAGGAGUUUGGCACCUCUUGAACUUGUUCAUUCUGAUCUGUGCGAAAUGAAUGGUAUUAUGACUAAAGGCGGUAAAAGAUACUUUAUCACAUUUAUAGAUGACUCUACUAGAUUUUGCUAUGUGUAUCUCUUAAAAACAAAGGAUGAAGCGCUCCAUUAUUUUAAGACCUAUAAAGCUGAAGUUGAAAAUCAACUAGAGAGGAAAAUAAAACAUUUAAGGUCUGAUAGAGGUGGAGAAUAUUUCUCAAAUGAUUUCGAUGAAUUUUGUGUGGAACAUGGUAUUAUUCAUGAGAGGACAUUGCCAUUCUCACCACAAUCCAAUGGGAUUGCUGAAAGGAAAAACCGCACUUUAACAGAGUUGGUGAAUGCCAUGUUAAAUACAGCGGGAUUAUCCAAGGAAUGGUUGGGUGAGGCAAUUUUGACCGCGUGUCAUGUCCUAAACAGAGUUCCUACUAAAAACAAAAAGAUCACACCAUUCGAGGAAUGGGAAAAGAAGAGAAUAAAUCUUUCAUAUUUACGCACUUGGGGUUGUUUGGCAAAGGUGAAUGUGCCAAUCAACAAGAAGCGUAAAUUAGGACCUAAAACUGUUGAUUGUAUUUUCCUUGGUUAUGCUUUCCACAGCGUUGGAUAUAGGUUCUUAAUUAUAAAAUCUGAUGUGCCUGAUAUGUAUGUUGAUACUAUCAUGGAAUCGAGAGACGCUACAUUUUUUGAGAAUGAGUUUCCCAUGAAAAAUACACCUAGUAAAAUAAGUCAUGAGACUAUAUACCCCAUGAGCAAGAAAUGUCUAUUCCUAUAGAUCAUGCUGAGGAGACUCACAUGCACAUCCAUGAGGAGGAUGACACUAUAGUCACUCGAAAGAGCAAGAGACAGAGGAUUGCAAAAUCCUUUGGUGAUGACUUUAUAGUGUACCUUGUGGAAGACACACCAACUACUAUUGUUGAGGCAUAUUCCUCUCCUGAUACCGACUUAUGGAAGGAGGUAGUAAGGAGUGAGAUGGAAUCUAUUAUGUCCAACAAAACAUGGGAGGUUGUUGACCGACCCUAUGGCUGUCAAUCUAUAGGCUGCAAAUGGAUCUUUAAGAAAAAGCUUAGGCCUGAUGGUACAAUUGAGAGGUACAAGGCAAGGCUGGUGGCCAAAGGAUAUACCCAGAAAGAGGGGGAAGAUUUCUUUGACACCUAUUUACCGGUCGCUCGAUUGACUACAAUUCGCACUUUGAUUGUCGUGGCAGCUUCAUACGGUCUUAUCAUUCAUCAGAUGGAUGUUAAGACGACUUUCCUUAAUGGAGAGUUAGAUGAGGAGAUCUAUAUGGAUCAGCCAGAAGGGUUCAUUGCAGAUGGUCAAGAAAGUAAGGUGUGUAGGCUGUUAAAGUCAUUAUAUGGCCUAAAGCAAGCAUCUAAGCAAUGACAUGAAAAGUUUGAUAGUACACUUAUAGCUGUUGGCUUUGUUGUGAAUGAAGCUGACACUUGUGUGAAUUAUCGAUAUGGUGGGGGUGAGGCUGUUAUGCUAUGCCUUUAUGUUGAUGACAUUUUGAUCUUUGGAUCUAAUCUCAAUGUGAUUGAGGAAGUAAAGAAACUUCUAUCGAGUAAUUUUGAUAUGAAAGAUUUGGGAGAAGCUGAUGUAAUUCUCAACAUCAAGCUUAUAAAGGAAGGUGAUGGUGGGGUAACUUUGUUAUAGUCCCACUAUGUGGAAAAUGUUCUAAGUCGCUUUGGGUUUAGUGACUGUGAUCCUGCACCUACUCCUUAUGACCCUAGUGUGCUAUUAAAGAAAAAUAAGAGAAUAGCAAGGGAUUAAUUGACAUACUCCCAGAUCAUUGGUUCACUAAUGUACCUUGCGAGUGCAACAAGGCCUGACAUCUCUUAUUGAAAGGAUCUAAUUGGCCUAGAGGGGGGUGAAUAGGCGUAUCUUAAAAACCUGAAACUCAAAAGCUCAAGUUGCGGAAGUUAAAUGCUUGCCGGUACUACCGACAGUUUGGGCCGGUACUACCGGUGUAAGACAUCCAGUACUACCGACACAACUGUUGGUACUACCGACACCCUAUGAGAUCUACGAAAUCAGAGUAGAUUGAGUUUUGAUUUCAGAUCUAAGAGUUACCCCACUCUCCAAGAUGUAGUAGAGGAUGAUGUUGAAGUUCCCUUGGCUCGGUUCUUCUCCAAAACAUAGAUCGGCCCUUGUUCACCUAUGAAAGGGAGUAGAGAGGAAGAACACGAAGAACACAAGAACAAGGGUAGUCGAUGCUACCACCACAGCAAGACAAGAUAUUUUUCCCGAGGUUCGGCAAUCCCCACGAUGGAGUUCCUACGUCUCCAUUGUUGAGGUGACCACGAAGGUCCGACCACUUAGGUCUCCUCCCUCAAGCAACCACACAGGUUAGCUCAAGAUUUCCACUAAGAAUCAAAGGGUUAUACAAACACUUCGGGGUGCCCUCACAAAUGAAUCAACACGGGCAACCACGAAGAACGCCUAGCCGGCUAGGGUUCCAAGAACCCAAGAGUAACAAAUGCAAACCAAACCAGCAAGACGAAGAAACCAAGUGCUCAAGUCACAAAUCGAAGCUCCCAACUCUCUAAUCUCACUUCUCUAGCUCGAAUCUCUCAAGGAGUGAAGUCUAGGAGCAAAGAGGGAGAGAGAGUGGGUGAGUCAAAGCUUGGAGACUAUUUUCUCAGAUCUAGAGUUGAAGGAAUGGGAGAGCUAACGGUCAGAAAUGAGGGAAGAGAUAUUAAUGCACAGGCCCAGAACAACUGCCGGUACUACCGGGGCAACCACCGGUACCACCGAUUACCUCAGAUCUAACGGUAAGAAGUCUCUAGGAUUUGCGAGAAAUAAGCCUACCGGUACCACCGGGCUUUUGUCGGUACUACCAACCAUUGCCGGUACCACCGGUGGAAGGCCGGUACCACCGGAAGUUCAAAUCUCUGCAACCAAAGUCAGCGCAGAUUUAGCCUGCCGGUACUACCGGCGUUUCACACCGGUACUACUGGUGCUGGCCGGUACCACCGACCCGAGCCCGGUACUACCGGUAGUUCAUUUUCUCGCAAAACUUAGGAGAAGGGCUGGCACUGCCGGUACCACCGGCCCUGAGGGUCGGUACUACCGGCUCACCCUAGCAAAGAAGAAAAAUUCCUAGUGGUUCGUGCGUGCAAGUGUGUCUCUCAAGCGCAAGAGCUAAGUUGACCUGAGCACUCUUAUCCUCAUCUUACCAACUCAAUUUGCAUCCCUCUUGAUAGUGCGGCAUUUCCUAUAACUCAAGCAAAGAAUAAAAACUUUGUAGCCACUUGAGUCGAAACACCGUUCAUCCAUUGGAAAUUUAGGGGUGCUAUAAUUCACCGAAUGUUUUCGUUCAAUUCCAUCAAUGGACUAACACGUGUAGAUUAUGCUUGAUAAACAUGUUAGUCCCUAAUUUGAUUGUCAUCAAUUAUCAAAACCCACAUCGGGGGCGAAUGCACUUACAAACUCUCCCUUUUUAGUAAUUGAUGAUAACCAACUUAGGCUUAUAAAGAUUGAAAGAAUAGAAGCUUUUGAAUUCCAAAAUUCAAGUUGAGCUCCCCCUCAAUGUAUGCAUUGGAUUCAAAAUUUCAAAUCUUGAUUAGAAUCAAGAUGGCAUACAUUAAGAACAAGCUCCCCCUAAAUUUUGCAAUCCGUGGGGUGCCUAAGUGUGUGUGAGAUAAUAAAGUGUGAUGCAUAUGACAAUAUAUAUCACAAAGAAUAAAAAGAAAGAACUUGAAUGGUUAUGCAAGAAAGAAAAGGACUUACAACUUAUCAUAACCAUUCAUAAACAACAUUGCAUCAGCACAAACCCAAAUUAGCUAACACAAGCAGGAUAUAAUAAUGAAGCAAAGGUGUUUAGCUUACAAUCAACCAUCACACACACAAAGUUUAAGUUUACCACAUGGUUCACAACACAAAAUAAUCCUAAUACCAAGCCUAAUACCACAUGAGAUAAGCCUAACACUCCCCCUUUGGCAUCAAAUGCCAAAAAGGGUAGGCUUCAUGAAGCUCCAAGGGGCAAAGGCAGUAGGUGAAACUACUCAACAUUAUCAUCAUCAUCAUCAUCAUCAAAGGCACCGGUUCACUGAAAACCCUGCUGCUGCUCAAACUCAGUGUCACACUACACCUCAUCAUCCUAUGCUGCACCAUUACCACUAGCAUCUGUUGCUAGCCCUUUUCCUUUUGCUUGGACUUAGCAUAUAUACAUCUGACAUUCUAGUCCAGGUGCUUGCUGUCUUGCUAGAAUGCAAAGCCAGUGACUUGCUCAAUGAUAUACAUGAGAUACGGAGCAUAGGGGAAGGACUAGUUGGAGGUCUAGGAACCCUCCUCAAUGUAAUGCCACAAGAGAUCUGUCACACUGAACCUCUUCUUAAGCCCAAAGCAAAUAGAGAUGGUUGGAGCAUGAUUCUGAACUGAAGUAGCAUCACCAACCUUUGGGUCAAUAGUAGCACGGAGCAAAUUGUUGAGCACAUAGAAAUAGGGCUUUAGACCUUCUGUCUUACCAUUUGCCUUUGUCGGAUCAACAUUGGGCUGCUUCAAUGAAAUCAGCCUUGCCCACACCAUUUGGAUAAUGACCAUAUAAGCUAGGAGCAUCACAAUCAUGGUGAUAAAACCCAAGAAGGUGGGAGAACUGGUGGUAAUCAUAGUGGUAGUGAAGGCCCUCAGUCAUCUAGUGAAGUAUCUUGUGCUCUACAUCAAUGUAAACUGUGUCCCAAAACUAACAAAUAACCUCUGUGUUCAUAAGUUGCAGUUGGUCAAAAACAAGCGAGCAGAAAUUCUAAAGGAGGUGAACCACAUAGUAUACUCAAACCAACUCAAAUUUGUCCAGAUUUCAUGAAGCCAUUACAUAACUAUGGACACAUUUGAGCUGUGAAAAAUAGAUUUUGAAAAGUUCACACAAUUUUUCACAAGAGUUUUUGCCUAUUCGAAUACACACAUGCACACACUAAGCAUAAUAUAAGCCCUAGAUGCACAAAGGUAAAGCAAAGAUCUAAUCAUGGAAUGAUAUACCUUUUGAUCAAUGGCCUUGUCGUCUUCAUCAAGAUCAAGAUGUCCGGUUGUUGGCAUUGGUGUCUUUAUGGGUUUGGCCUUGUCAAUGUCAAACUUUUUUAGCAUGUCGGUGGUGUACUUGGUUUGACUUAUGAACGUGCCGUCUUUGAGUUGCUUGAUUUGAAAUCCAAGAAAGUAUGUCAACUCCCCCAUCAUGGACAUCUCGAAUCUCUUGGUCAUGAUCCUACUAAAUUGCUCACUGAAAUCCGCAUUAGUACUACCAAAUAUAAUGUCAUCGACAUAUAUUUGGCAUAUAAAAAUAUCAUUAUUGACUUUGCGAGUAAAUAAAGUGGGAUCGGUUUUUCCAAUCUCAAACCCUUGUUUCAGUAGAAAAUCCUUGAGACAAUCAUACCAAGUUCUAGGGGCUUGCUUAAGCCCAUAGAGUGCCUUGUCAAGCUUGUAGACAUGAUCGGGAUGAUGUGGAUCUUCAAAACCCGGCGGUUGCUCCACAUACACGGUUUCGGAGAGGGGGGCAUCGAGGAAUGCACUUUUCAUGUCCAUUUGAAAUAACUUGAAAUCAUGGUGAGCAGCAAAGGCAAGUAAUAUAUGAAUAGAUUCAAGCCUAGCUACAGGUGCAUAGGUCUCCCCAAAAUCCAAACCUUUGAUUUGAGUGAAACCUUUGGCUACCAACCGUGCCUUGUUCCUUGUGACCAUGCCAUACUCAUCUACUUUGUUGCGGAAGACCCAUUUGGUACCUAACACAUUUUGCUUGGGUCUUUCCACCAAGGACUAGACUUUAUUCUUGGUGAAGUUGUUUAGCUCCUCUUGCAUGGCAAUCACCCCAUCUGGGUCCUUCAAAGCAUUCUUCACCCUGUUUGACAACAUCGAGGAGACAAAAGAGUAAUAUUCACAAAAACCAACUAAACGAGAGUGUGUUGUUACCCCUCGUUGUGUGUCUCCCAAAAUUCUAUCAAUGGGAAGAUCUCGUUGAAUGGAUUGAUGAACUCUUGGGUGAGGUACUGUUGUUCUUGUUUGAAUUGGACAGUCAUCUUCAUCUUCAUUAUCUUGGUUGAUUGGAGAAUCAAGAUCUUGAUUGUCUCGAUCACCACCUUGGUUGGGUCUUGAGCUUGUGGUGGAUCUUGACUAGCUUGUUCCCUUGAGUCAUGACCCCUUCUUGAGGUGGAAGCAUCAUCAUGGGCAUUGGUUGACCCAUGAUGCAAGUUUGGAUCAUGAGGAAUUUGCAUAUGUGCAUCAUCAUCUUCUUCAACGGGUUUCACUUCACCGGUAGCAAGCCUUUUUCAUCACUUGAUGAGAUGGUUCUUCUUCACCUAAAAUUUUAGCAUUGACUUCCUCCUUUUGAGAGCCGUCGCUUUCAUCAAAAGUCAUGUCUACCACUAUUUCAAUUUGACCGGUGGUCUCAUUGAAGACACGGUAGCCAUGUUCGUUAGUACCAUAACCAAGUAAGAAACCUUCAUCAACCUUUGGUGCAAACUUAGAGCUUUUGGAUUUAUUAUUAAGUAUGAAACACUUGCAUCCAAAAACUCUAAAGUAGUCCACCUUAGGCUUUUUACCGGUUAGAAGCUCGUAGGCUGUUUUCUUCCUCAACUUGUGGAGGUACAAGCGGUUGAUAGUUUGACAUGCCGUGUUGACGGCUUCCGCCCAAUAGUCUUCUUGUGAAAUCUAGUAUUCAUCCAACGUUGCUAUUAUGGCUUCAAUGAGUGUCAUGUUCUUCCUCUCCACAACACCAUUUUGUUGUGAAGUGUAUGGAACCGAGAAUUCAUGCUUGAUGCCUUCUUUAUCAAGGAAAGCUUCAAUGUUGGUGUUUCUAAACUCUCUCCUGUUGUCACUUCUCACUUUCUUGAUCUUCACUUCAAACUUACUUUGAGCUCUUCUUGCAAACUUCUUGAACAUCCCUUGGGUUUCACCUUUAUCUCUCAAAAAGAACACCCAAGUGAAGCGAGAAAAAUCAUCAACAAUUACAAAACCAUAUUUGUUACCUCCAAUACUUAUAUAAGCAUUGGGUCCGAAUAAGUCCAUGUGAAGUAACUCAAGUGGUAUUUGAUGUAGUCAUGAUGUUCUUAGUGGGAUGCUUGUCUCCAACUUGCUUUCUCGCUUGACAUGCACUGCAAAUUCUAUCUUUCUCAAAAGAAACAUUUGUUAGUCCUAGGAUGUAUCCACCUCUUUGAAGAUCGGCCAAGUUCCUCAUCCCAACAUGAGCUAGAUAUCGAUGCGAUAACCAGCCCAUGCUAGAUUUUGCCACUAAACAAGUCUUGGACCCCACUCUACUAGAUGAGAAAUCAACUAGAAAGAGCUUGCCCUUAAGUUGACCCGUAAAAGCAAUAGAGGAAUCCAAACUUCUAGAGACUUCCACACCCUUAUCCGUAAAGAGACAAUUGUAACCCUUCUCACAAAGUUGUGAGAUGGACAACAAAUUGUAUCCCAAUGAAUUCACAAGUAAUACAUUUGAAAUUGAAUUAUCAUUUGAGAUAGCAAUUUUACCCAAACCAAGGAUAUCUCCUUUACUAUUGUCACCAAAGACAAUCCUUUCACCUGCAACUUGAUUUGAUUGAAAGGAGGUGAACAUGUUCUUCUCUCCGGUCAUAUGAUUGGUGCAUCCAUUAUCAAGCACCCAUUUUGGUCCACCGGAGGAGUAUUCCUACAACACAAGAUUAAGCUUUUGUUUUAGGUCCCGAGAUGGGACCUAGGGGGUUAGAAAUAUAAGACUUGGGCACCCAAACACUCCUUAAGAUUUGUCUCUUCUUAAGGGCAUCCACAUACUUCACAACAAUCUUGCCAUCCUUGUCCCAACAACACAUGUAAUGACAAAUGUGAUUGCGUGAAAUAGGCACUUGUUGCUUGGACACCUCCACUUGCUUCUUCUUCAUGUUCUUGUUGUUUGCAAGUGGACUUGUAGGAGUAGCAACAUUGUUCACCUUAUCAAUAAGGUCAACAAGAGGCACACUCUUGUUGAACUUCACACAAGCCACCCCAUUUAUCAUGUUUCUUCCAUUGGCCUUAACAUUGUACCUAUUGUAACCGAGGCCAUCCUUGAUUAUGGGGAGCCUUGAUGCCUUGAACACAUUUGCCGGUUGCUUGUCCUUGCACUUGCAACCAAUCUUGACAAUUGUGUUUAAUCUUUGGAUCUCCUUGUCCUUCUUUGCUAGCUCAACAAGGUUAGUAACACAUGUGUUUAUAUCAACAUUUGAGCAUCUUUCACAACUUUUACUUGUUGAAGCUUUGGAAUCCUUGGAAAUGGUAGAAGUGCUAGUCCAAAGCUUGUCAUAGUUUAGUUCAAGCUCAUGAUAUUUAGUUGUCAAGCUUGUAAGGCUUUCUUGAGCCAAACUAUGAUCAUUCUUUAGGCUAGCCAAAGAGUCAUUGAGUGAAGAAUGUCUCUUAGAUAAAUGCUCAUUAGCAUCUUUGGCUAAAGACAAUUCUACACUCAACUUAUCAGCCCUCUCCUUUUCCUUGGAGAGACAUGCUUCAAGUCCUUGGUUCUUCUCCCUUUCCUCUAGGAGCAAUUCCCCUUGCGACUCAAUGCAUGACUCAAGCUUAUCUUUAGCAUAUAUUAGCUUUAGGAUUUUGGUUGCAGCAGCUUUACCAUAUUUCUUAAUGAGAUUUGAUGCAUAGUUUUCAUCAUCUUCAUCAUCACUAUCAUAUUUACUAGUGGUGUGAGUGGGAGAGUCAAAUUUUACCUUAUCUCCUCUUGCCAUAAGGCAUGUAGGAGUGUCAUGGUCGUCGUCGGAGAGGUUGGCAAAGAGUCUAGGUGAUGAAGAAGUGCGGGUGAAGAGAGAGGUCGAUGACGCAUUGUUGGUGAAGAUGUUUGUUGAGGAAGAUGCCUCUUGUAUGGCGGGGGCAACCAUACUCUUCUUCUUAUUGUCAUUGUCAUCAUCACUGUCACUGUCAGAUUGCCAUUCUUGACCUAGAUGUGCUUCACCUCUCUUCUUAUCCUUGUACUUCUUGUCACCUUGUUUGUUGUAUCUUGACCUCUCCUCUUUGUUAGGACAAUCGGCCGCAAGAUGGCCGGUGUCACCACACUCAUAGCAAAACCUCUUCUUGUAUGGCUUGUUUCCUCCAUAUCUCCUUAUAUUAUCUUUCUUCAUUCUCAAGUAAUUCUUGUAGUUUCCCACUAGCAUAGCUUGCUCUUUAUCAAGAUCAUCGUCAUCAUUAUGCUUAUGCUCACAACACCCUUUGUUGCAGUGACUUGACUCACUUCCAUGUGAUGCCGUGAGUGCAAUGCUCUUUCUUUGAUUGAUUGUCUCCUUAGCUUCAUCAUCCAAGACUUCAUGAUGCAUCAAUUUUGCAAGCAUCUCUUGAGGUGUGAUCGUGUGGUAAUUUUCUUUCUCCAUAAUGACGGAGGCAAGCAUAUUGUUCUUUUGUCUAUACACCCUACAUAUCUUUCUUGCUGCAGAGUUGUCAUCCCAUGUUGUUGCUCCAAGUGCUCUAAUUUGGUUGAUCAAGGACAUGAAUCUAUCGAACAUGGCCUUUGUUGUUUCUCCCUCAAUCAUGCAAAAAUUCUCAAUCUUACUUUGUAAGAGUUCAAUGUUUCCAACUCUUACACUUUUAUCUCCUUCAAAUGACACCUUCAAAGUGUCCCAGAUUUGCUUUGCAUUCACCAUACCAUUUACUUUGUUGUUGUCCUCCGGAGUGAGGCAUUGCAAGAUCAAGGUGGCUGCCAUUGCAUUUAGGUGAAAGUCUCUCUCAUCUUCAAGUGUCCACUCAUUUGGAUCUUGUGGCGGAUUUACUCCAAUGUCCACCACUUCCCAACAUCUUCCGGCUAUGAGAUGUAGCUUCAUUCUAUGAGCCCAAUCGGUGUACCUUACACCAUCAAAUGGAGGUGGUUUUCUAGGGUUGAUCAUUGACAAGGUUGGAUUCUUGCUUGAACCACCACAGUCAAAGAUAGCUUUGUUGUAGUUCUUUGAUGUUUUGCUACUAUCUUCAUUUUCAUCUUUGCUACCCGAUUCAUGAUUCUUUUUGCCUAGGAGCUCUCUCAUCUUGUCAAGCUCUGCUUGCAUCUCCUACAUUUGCUCUUGUUGCUGCAGCUGCAAGGAUGUAGUGAUCUGUGCUGUGAUUUGAUCAACAAUUUGCUUUUAUGCUACUGGAUCCAUCUUGGCCAAUGUUGCUCCUCACGCGGUGAAGCGUUUGUACGAGGAACCUUGCUCUGAUACUAAUUGAAAGGAUCUAAUUGGCCUAGAGGGAGGGUGAAUAGGCGUAUCUUAAAAACCUGAAACUCAAAAGCUCAAGUUGCAGAAGUUAAAUGCCUGCCGGUACUACCGACAGAUUGGGCCGGUACUACCGGUGUAAGACAACUAGUACUACCGACGCAACUGUUGGUACUACCGACGCCCUAUGAGAGCUAUGAAAUCAGAGUAGAUUGAGUUUUGAUUUCAGAUCUAAGAGUUACCCCACUCUCCAAGAUGUAGUAGAGGAUGAUGUUGAAGUUCCCUUGGCUCGGUUCUUCUCCAAAACGUAGAUCGGCCCUUGUUCACCUAUGAAAGGGAGUAGAGAGGAAGAACACGAAGAACACAAGAACAGGGGUAGUCGAUGCUACCACCACAGCAAGACAAGAUAUUUUUCCCGAGGUUCGGCAAUCCCCACGAAGGAGUUCCUACGUCCCCGUUGUUGAGGUGACCACGAAGGUGCGACCACAUAGGUCUCCUCCCUCAAGCAACCACACAGGUUAGCUCAAGAUUUCCACUAAGAAUCAAAGGGUUAUACAAACACUUCGGGGUGCCCUCACAAAUGAAUCAACACGGGCAACCACGAAGAAUGCCUAGCCGGCUAGGGUUCGAAGAACCCAAGAGUAACAAAUGCAAACCAAACUGGCAACACGAAGAAACCAAGUGCUCAAGUCACAAAUCGAAGCUCCCAACUCUCUAAUCUCACUUCUCUAGCUCGAAUCUCUCAAGGAGUGAAGUCUAGGAGCAAAGAGGGAGAGAGAGUGGGUGAGUCAAAGCUUGGAAACUAUUUUCUCAGAUCUAUAGUUGAAGGAAUGGGAGAGCUAAUGGUCAGAAAUGCGGGAAGAGCUAUUUAUACACAGGCCCUAAACAACUGUCGGUACUACUGGGGCAACCACCGGUACCACCGGCUACCUCAGAUCUAACGGUAAGAAGUCUCUAGGAUUUGCGAGAAAUAAGCCUACCAGUACCACCGGGCUUUUGUCGGUACUACCGACCAUUGCCGGUACCACCGGUGGAAGGCCGGUACCACCGGCAGUUCAAAUCUCUGCAACCAAAGUCAGCGCAGAUUUGGCCUGCCGGUACUACCGGCGUUUCACACCGGUACUACUGGUGCUGGCCGGUACCACCGGCCCGAGCCCGGUACUACCGGUAGUUCAUUUUCUCGCAAAACUCAGGAGAAGGGCUGGCACUGCCGGUACCACCGACCCUGAGGGUCGGUACUACCGGCUCACCCUGGCAAAGAAGAAAAAUUCCUAGUGGUUCGUGCGUGCAAGUGUGUCUCUCAAGCGCAAGAGCUAAGUUGACCUGAGCACUCUUAUCCUCAUCUUACCAACUCAAUUUGCAUCCCUCUUGAUAGUGCGACAUUUCCUAUAACUCAAGCAAAGAAUAAAACUUUGUAGCCACUUGAGUCGAAACAUCGUUCAUCCAUUGGAAAUUUAGGGGUGCUAUAAUUCACUGAAUGUUUUCGUUCAAUUCCAUCAAUGGACUAACACCUGUAGAUUAUGCUCGAUAAACAUGUUAGUCCCUAAUUUGAUUGUCAUCAAUUAUCAAAACCCACAUCGGGGGCGAAUGCACUUACACUUAUGCAGUGAGCAAGCUAAGUCGGUUUGUAUCAAACCCGGGGGUUGAUCAUUGGCGUGCUCUUGAGAGAGUAUUGCGUUAUCUUAAAGGUACUAUGACCUGCGGUAUUCGUUAUACCGGACAACCCAGAGUGCUAGAAGGCUAUUGUGAUGCCAACUGGAUCUCUGAUGCUGAUGAGCUUUAUGCCACGAGCGGAUAUGUGUUCCUGCUUGGAGGUGGCGCUGUUUCCUGGAAGUCUUGCAAGCAGACUAUCUUAACGAAGUCAACAAUGGAAGCAAAACUCACUGCAUUGGACACUGCUGGGUCUGAGGCUGAGUGGCUACGUGAUUUCCUUUUGGAUUUACCGGUAGUUGAAAAACCGAUACCGGCUAUCUCCUUGAACUGUGAUAACCAGACUGUGAUUACAAAGGUUAAUAGUUCAAGGAAUAACAUGAAGUCCACAAGGCAUGUUAAGAGAAGAUUAAAAUCUAUCAGAAAAUUGAAAACCUCCGAAGUUAUAACGGUGGACUAUGUCUAUACGUCGAAUAAUCUGGCAGAUCAAUUCACCAAGGGUCUAUCACGCAAUGUGAUAGAAGGUGCAUCGAGAGAGAUGGGUAUGAGACCCACGUGAAAUCUACUGUAGUGGUAACCUGCUCUAUGUGAUCGGAGAUCCCGUGAAGUAGAGUGGUGAAACAAGCUAUGAGUAGAUUGAGAGGAAAGAUCCCUUUCUUGACUCAUCUCUGAUGCUCAUCUUUCCUAUCUGUAAGGCAGGUUGGUUUUUAACUUAUUAUUUCCAAAGGUGAGAUGUUGUCCUACAGAACAUCUAUGGAGGAGUACACCUAUAUGAGUUAGACUGCUAGUCACGGUCUAUGGGGCUUGGGUAAUCCCUAAAUACUCAUGAAAGGCACAGAAGUGUGACUUAUAUGCUUCAAACAGCGGGGAUGCCUUAUGCAGCCUAGUAUCAGCAAAGGACUUGAGUGAAUCUCAUCUCGCACAAAACUGUCAAUUCAAGGCUUAGUCCAUUGUUCAGUUGUGACUAGGUGAAACUCUUGUUCUAGGUGGAUGUUCAACUUAACAGUCUCCAUCGAAACACUGGUAUAUCAAAGAAUUGUGAUUCUGGAACAACAUAGUUACAAACCCUAGAGUUUGGUGGGGAUUGUUGGAUUUAUUAUGGGUUAGACCCGUUUAUAUAUUCAAUAAUUCAAUAAACUCUAUGGUAUGUAAACCGUUUUAUACGGUACGAGUUUUUGGCUGAACGAUAUAUUGAGGUAUGUGUCACGCACUAUGGUCGUGAUGUGACGAAUGGAGGGACUUUUUAUUUUGUUAAUCAUGGUGAUUGAAUAUGGGAGUUACUUCUCAUGGUGAUUGAAUAUGGGAGUUACUUCCAUUAUUCUAAUUGAUUAAAAGAAUUGUCAUUAUCUCCACUAAGGGAGUGGCGUGAGCAUCAUGGGCUCUUGGCUUUCUUGCAUGCGUGUGAGGCUUUUGGCCUCCAAGCCAUGAGGCUCCUUGCCUUUUGGCUUGCCCACCUCUUGCCUAUAUAUAGCACAUACUACUACGUCAGUCAAGGGUGAAGAACACAAUCCAGAGACACAAUUCCGCAGCAACGUAGGCUUCUCCAUCUCCUCGAUCCGCGCGCACGGAGAAGGGAGAGGGCAGGUGCCUUCGAAGCCCUUGUCGUUCGUGAUCCUUGCACGGGGAGGACGGCAAUUAGGUUUUUGGGAAGCGUCUACGCGACUACCCAAUCCACCGCCGCUGUUGAAAGCCCUAGUUUGGUUUUGGAUAAUUGAUGAAACCCUAGUACUAACCUCUAUACUAAGUGUGUGUAGACUUAAUAAGGUUGGUACAUGCCAUGUGAUGGAGCAAGAGAUGAUCAUGGUGAUGAUGGUGAUGACCACAAGAUGAUCAAGUGCUCAACUUUGAAAAGAAGAAAGAGAAAAACAAAAACCCUAUGGAGAUCAAGGCAAAGGUAUUGCUUAGGGUUUUGGUUUUGGUGAUCAAGACACCAUAGAGGGUGUGAUCACAUUUAGGAUAGAUAGCCGUACUAUAAAGAGGGGAAUUCUUUGGCUAAGCGGUUAUCAAGUGCCACUAGGUGUCAUUGUUCAUGUGCAUGCAUUUAGAACCUAGUGAGCUAACUUAACUCCUUCGAAGAAAAUGUUUGUGAAAAAGCUAACACACGUGCACUUGUUGGUUUAAACGUUGUGGUGUUGGCACACUUUGAGAAGGAGGUGGAGUUUGAAAGGUAGAGAGAGGAUUCGGCGCUUUUCGAGAAAAUUAAGUGCAUAUUUUCUAUUGCGCUGGUGGGAAAUUUGGAGAAGUCACGGGAGUGUUUCUCGCUGAGGAACACUCACCGGACGCUGACUCAGAGGCACCGGACGCUGUGUCUGAGCGUCCGGUGUGCAGGCAGUGCCUAGCCCAGCUAGGGUAAGGCACCGGACGAUAGGCACCGGACGCUGGCUUGAGCGUCCGGUGGUUAGCGUCCGGUGCGUGGGCGUUUUGCGACCCUCUCUGCGCAUCGGUCCGGUGAGCACCGGACGCUGAGGGUGCGUCCGGUGGCUUGCGUCCGGUGACCCUACGAGUUUGCGGAACUCUCUGCGCAUGAGUCCGGUGUGCACCGGACGCGUCCGGUGCCAACCUGCUCAGCGUCCGGUGCUCUGCAGGUUACCGUUAGACUCUGACACGCGGCUGACUUUGGAGCACCGGAUGCAGGUGUUGAGCGUCCGGUGGCCCUUUAAGAGCGUCCGGUGACCCCGUAUUUCGCCCAGUGAAAGAGCCAACAGCUCUAUUUGUUUGAGGGGCUAUAAAUACGUGUUUGGCUGGCUUGGGGCUUACACUCUUGGCAUUCUAGCAUACUUGACUUCCUUGUGAGCCUAAGCAAACACCUCCCACUCAUCUCCUUCAUAGAUUAUACAUCUUUGUGAGAUUAGGAGUGAUUCCAAGUGCAUUUGCUUGAGUGAUUGCAUCUAGUGGCACUUGGGGAUCGUUCUAGCUGCGGUUUUCUUGUUACUCUUGGUGGUUGCCGCCACCUAGACGGCUUGGAGCAGCGGAGGAGGAUUGGCACGAGUUGGUGACUGUUCGUAGCCAUCUCCCGGAGAUUGUGAGGGGUCUUGUACCUUCCCCGGCGGAGAGCCGAAAGGUAACUCUAGUGGAUUGCUCGUGUCAUUGAGCUACCUCACUUGUGGGUAGGUUCUUGUGGUGUCCUAGCGAGGACGAGGUUCGUGCUACACCUCUUAGCCACCGAACCACCAAGUGUUGGUCGACACAACGGGGACGUAGCGUGCCGGCAAGCAUGUGAACCUCGGGAGAAAAAUCGGUGUUUCAAUUGUGUUUGAUUGACAUUCUCCCGGUGCUUGAUUGUUUAUAUUGGUGAUUGGUUCAUCCCCUACUCGAUGGUAUAAUUAUCUCAUCCACUCUUUUACAUUCCCGCAAACUAGAGUAGCGUACUUACUUGUGUAGAAACUUUAGGUAGCUUUCUAGUAUAAGUAGUGACAUAGCUCUUGCAUGUCUAGUGAUUAUAUCAACUAGAAUUGUUGGAUAGGUGGCUUGCAAACACCCCAUUAGAGCUAGAGCAAAAAGCUUUGCUUUGUUAUUUACUAACCUCUUGCUCUAGUGAGUUUGUAGAAUUUUUAAAUAGGCUAUUCACCCCCCCUCUAGCCAUAUUAGGACCUUUCAGCUGUUCGUCUUCCUCAAGCUGGUUCGGGCGGAUUUCUUCUUUCCGGUGGAAAGAUCGUCUUCAUCCUCUACAUCAUGGAAGAUAUAUUAUGCUUUUAUAUUUUUAAUAAUCACAUGUUCUACAUGUUCAUGGAUCACAUGUUCUAUAUUCCUAUGAACAUGUUUAAUAUCAUGAUUUCUAUGAUUAAUUAUAUUAUAUAUGUCAUCAUCAUAAUGUUGAUUUAUGGAAUUAAAAUGAUAUGGAAAUUGCCUAAAUAUCUAACAUACAUCGCUGGAUAAGUCAAUUUUCCUACAGUUUGUCUUUUAUAGAACUCGUAGUAAAGAUUUAUAACACUAAAUUAGUAUCAUUAGAUACAUUAUAAAAUAUAUGAUGCAUCCAAAAAUAUUAAGUGUCAUCAUGCAGGUUGACAUGAUUGUUUAUGUGAUUGUAGUAGCUAAUCAUUGAGUCUAGCUAGGAUCUAUAAUCCCUUUUUAGUAAAAUAAUAGACAACAAAAGAUUAAAGAAGCACUAGAAUUAAAAUUUAACACGUGGAUUAAAUAUUGAAUUAAUAAGAACAAAAAAUGUAAUAAGAGUUGAUAUAAGUUAAACUAUGUUUCUAACUAAUUACAUCUUAAAAUCUAUGAAGUUGCUAUGCAAAGGAUGAAAACAUAUAUAAGUAACUAGAAAAAGUUACUAGAAGGGUAGAGUUUAUAGAGUAUAUAAUAGUAAUUGGAAAAGUUAAUAUUGUCGGUGUUUUUCCCCCGGGGGGGGGGGGUCGCACCAACAAGUAAAUUUGUAUGCGUGCUCCCUUUCCCGGAUGGUGAUGCAAGAAGACACAGAGAUUUAUCCUGGUUCGGGCAAGAGAAGGCCCUACGUCCAGCGAGGGGGAGAGAGUUUGUAUUAUCUUGCACCUAAGCGCUCGUACAGGGGUGAAUACAAGCGUGGUAUGAAGUGGGGAGCUCUACGGCGUAUGAGCGUGAUCUUGUCCAUUCUAUUCCUGAGUCCCUCCUUUUAUAGUUCCAAGGAGAGACCCAGGGUACAUGUAUAGGCGUCAGAAUAGGAGUUGAUAGCAGCAUGGAGCGCUGACCUACUCGAGGCUUCCGUACCGGCGUGGCCUCGAGCCGUCCCGUCUUGGUAGCCUUGCGAUGAUUACGUGUGCCCUGUUAUCCUGCUCUGCGCCCCGUCUUGGAUUGGUUUACCGGAUGUACGCUCGUACGACCCGACGGCAAACCCGGCGGAGCGGUUGGGAUGUAGUCAGUCGACGCCCAAUUCGUCCCCUAGAAGGAUCCUUGUCUGGUCGAGGUUCGGAUGCCGUACAUUGUGCUGAUAUCUGGAGCGCUGACUUCGGAUGUCUCGAGGGGGUCCCGACUAGACGUUCCAUCCUCGUUUCCCACGUUCUGACACGUCCAGGGUCGUCUGGUGGGAAGGCUGCAAAAAGAACGAUGGGACAGAUGCUUGUUCCCUUAUCACGUCUCCCGUGACCCGUGUGUUAGGUGGGGAAGCGUCAGAUGCAUUAAAUGCCCUGGCUCUCGUGCGCGCGUCAGGCGGCGGACAGUGUCCUUGCGCUCGACGCCUCUUGAUUCGCUCGAGCCCGCUUCCGUAUUCGACGGAAGCUGGCGCUCGAGCCCAGAUCGAUUCGCUCGACGCUACUUCCGUCUUCGAGGCCGCGACCGUCGAUGGUUGCACGUAUGUAUGUACGGAUGGUGUCGUUACAUGUAUUGGUGAGGGUACCCCUUGUUGAUACCCUCGACAGUAGCCCCCGAGUCUCCAUUUGAGCGCUGGCGCUCGAGUGGAGACUUUUGUUUUUACAGUCGAGGUUCCGUGGGGGCGCGCGAGCGACCCCGCGGGGGUAGCCCCCGAGCCCUCGAGGGAGUAUUUAACUCCUUCGAGGGUUAUUUUGCCCAAUUUGCAGAGACGCUGUCGACGCCAGUGGUGGAAGGUUCUGAUCGGCUUUGCCUUGCGAGGAGGUUUCGACGUACUCUCGAUAGAGCGAGCGUCUUCCACUCCAGAUCGAGUUCCUAGCGGGUAGUCCAAGUGAGAACCUGUGCCCCUUUCGAGGGGGUCAGCUGUAGCCCGGAGGCGUUCUCAUAAAGCUGGGUCGACGUGGUCGGGGAUACCGGUCUCAUUCGAUAGAGUCCAGCGGCUCGAUGCCUCCCGUCAUGGGGAUUCCUCUCGACUGUCUCGACCCUGCCUUGGACAUCGCCAGCGAGUUUUCGAGGCAGGCCUCGAUUUUCGACCACUCGCUGGGGACCCCUGACUCUUGGUGCUCGAGAUCGGCUGUCGAACCCAUUCGACGGGCCAGCCAUCGACCUCUCGAGACUAUUGUGGGUACGCUCCUUGGCUUACAAGGGAAGGAAGUGGUCGUGACGGUUCGCCUUUCUGCCCGUUGGGCGCGUCUUUUUAGGCGGGUGUCGUUACGGCGUGGAAUUCGGAACGCCCGGCCUGUGAAAGGGGAAAGACUGUUAGGUGGCGUAUUAAAUGGGGGGACGUUACCUCAUUUCUCGGAUCUGUCCGUUGGCGAUUUUUGGCUUAUAAAUACUCCGCGGCACCGCCGUCGUUCUCUCUUCCGCCUCCCAUCUUUGCUCUUGCUCUAGCCUCCUUGCCGUCCUAGCUCUCUCGCCGUCUUUCGCGCACAGGCCUCCUCGUGCAGUAGCGGAUUCGCCGCCCUUCCGUCCGAGAUGCCUGUAAGACUCAUUGCCGCCGACGACUGGCGCCCGUCGUCGAUGACGGAGCGCCGGCUGCUAGAUCUUGAGAAAGAGGGAUUGCUGCGCCGCCGCACCUCACUAUCGUCGCCGGAGUGGAUCGCGCCGCCGGCGAGUCACAGGGAGCCCCAACCGCCUGCGGGUUACGUGGUGUCGUUUGCCAAGUUCCACCGCCACGGCCUGGGUGCUCCCCGAGUCGCUUCAUGCGGGCCCUCUGCUUCCACUACGGGGUGGAGCUCCAGCACUUCUCCCCGAACGCCAUCACCGUCGCGGUGGUCUUUGCCGCCGUGUGUGAGGGCUACUUGGGGAUGAUGCCGCACUGGGAGCUGUGGCUCCAUCUCUACAGGGGCGAGCUCUUCAACGCCCCCACUGGGACCACCGGCGUGAGGAAACCGGUGCGGGCGGGUUGCCUCAAUCUCGUGCUGAAGACGGGGAAGUCGGAGAGGCCGCGCGAGUACAUCCCGGUGGGACUGUCGACCAACCACGCCGGUUGGGACUCCCAAUGGUUCUACCUGAGGAACGACGACGACCUACUGCCCGCCUAUACCGGGCGCUUGAUCACGGAGCGACCGGAGAAUUGGACGUACGGCGUCGUCCAAGUUCACCAAUCUCGACUCGACCCCCUCCUCGACGUCAUGAAGAAGCUGUGUUCGGAGGGCUUGACCACCGCCCUCGUUCUCUCGGCCGUUCAUCAUCGGAGAGUUCUCCCUUUGAUGUCUCGGCCGUUGAGGAUGGACGAGAUGGGCCCCGGCGUUUCAUCUCGGGACCUCGAGGCGUGCCGGAUGUCAAACGAAGCUCCGGCGGAUGACGAAGUCGCAGCCCGAGUCAGGGCUGCAAUUGUCGGCGAUUUUCAGCCGGAGCAUGUUAACGGCUUCCCCAUGAGGCCAGACGCCGGCUCGAUAGAUCUGGUAUGUUUUCUUCUUGCGUGCAACCUCGAUUCCGGGUUCCUUUUCUUCCCCUCUCCCUUUCUUUUCUAAGUCUGCCUUUAUUUUGACAGGGACGGAUCGACGUCCGGUCCUCGAGGCCUCCGGUAAAGGAGGACGAGGCCCACCGUGAUAAACGGCGCCAAUCUGCCGAAAAGCUAAAGUCCGCCAAGGACUCUGCCAAGAAGGGGGAGAAGAAGAGGAACCUCGACCGUCAAGCGUUAGAGGCGCGUCGGGCCAAAUCCAGGCAGAGGGGGGAGCCUGAGGAAGAAUCCCCCAAUGAUGACGAUGACGACGACGACGACAG